CCGACGCCUGCAUAUACUUCCUCUCUAGGGUUUUCUUAAAUUUCCACCGCUGCCGCUACCGCCGCUUUCUUUCUUCUCUCCUCCUCUCCUUCGCCUCACCUCUAUCCUCAGAAGCUAAACCCAUCCCAACGCCAACAGAUUACUCGCGCGGUCCUGCAGUUUCACUACUGCUGGUGGCAACAGUAGUAGUAGUAGGUAGGACCAUAGCUGUCACACUCAAAUGGACCAAAAUGGUACCGUUAAUUCCUGUCAUCGUCAAUUGCCCUCCUCUGACAGAUUUCUCGGCGUUUUCGCUCUGACUGAACGAAGCACUGCUCUCACUACUUUCUGGAGACAACUCUGCCUCCAGAGCUUAACGAAGACGACGUGUUCUGGAUUGGUGACUUUACUGAGCUUCAUGGCCGGUCCUCUUCCCCUUCCUCAGUCAUCAACAUGCGCCAGAUCUCUCUCUUUUUUUCCCCUUUCUCUUGGUUUUGGGUUAAAACCUUCAUUGCAUUGAAUUUUUUUCACUUUUUUCAGGUUGCAGGUAGAAUGAUUUUUAAUUUCUGGACUCUUAUUCUCUGUCUAAGAUAGAGUUGGAAGCGCAGAAGCAUCUUCCGCAGCUUGCUCUGUUUUUUGCCCUUUCUAAGGUACUACCUUCUUUGUUCUGAUGUGCUUUCCCAUUUUUUCUAUUUCCCUUGUUCAAGCUUUUGUGGAUUGUCCCUUGUUCAAGCUUGUUCAAGCAACAUCGUUAAUACUCGCAUAUAGUUGGUUCACACCAUUUUGAAAGACCUCCACCCCAGCCCACCGCGCAUAUCAUAUCACAUAUGUUGCCGGCGGCCAACCUCAGUGAGUAUUGCUUACAAAUCAAACUGUACUUUGAGAAGAGUUGCUUACAAAUCAACCUCAGUGAGUAUAGAGAGUUGGUCCGAUCGAUCAGCACUUCCCUUUAUUAAUUCCCUUUGUUCAAUUGUUGUUUUUAAUUACUACAUGCAAUGCCUUUGGGUCUAAACGUGAAAGUACAUUCUUGCUUUUACAAGUACCGGCUAAAGUAAGAGUAUGUUUUAUUAUUAUUUUUAGUGAUUAAUACGGAACAAAAUCAAUUGGCAGAAAAGAAAACACAGAGGUAAAUUUAGCAGCUUCAUUUUAUCUUGAGAAUCAAGUUACUUGAACUCACUCCCAUUCAUUUCCAUUCAGUCAGUCAACCUCCCCAAGAAGUCCAACUCCCCAACCCCCUCCCGGCCAGAGUCUAUUUAAAAAAAAAAUGGGGAGAGAGUUGGUGGGGAAGAAGCAAAAAAUUGGGACCUUUGUAGUCAGUACCGUGCGAUGAUCUGAUGAAAUAUACAUAUAUCUUUUAACUUUUAGAGCUGUUAACUUGCAAACCUAUUUUUGGUUGGUUAGCAGUAAUUAGGCCUUAUGUGAAUCAAUUUUUUUAAAAAAGUGACGUGUGAAACUAACUUGGUGAUACAAAUUUGUAGGUCAUUCGCAGUUAAGGAUGACAUAUUUUGCUUGUUUGAGGGAGCACUUGAUAAUCUAGGGAGUCUGAAGCAACAAUACAGGCUUCCAAAGUCUUCAAAUGAGGUGGCUUUGAUGAUUGAAGCGCCUUGACAGGGCACGUUAUCCUCCAAACCAUGUUGUUGGCCACCUAGAAAGGAAUUUUGCAUUUAUUGUCUUCGGCAAGGCCACCUCCACCUUGUUUGUGGCUACUGUGAGUGAUCUUCGCAUUUCCUUACCUACCAAUUUGACUUAAUUGAAAUGUUUUAACAGUCUGGUUGGUGAUGUUGUGACAGGAUGAAAAGGCUAAGGUUCCUCUAUAUUGUGGAAUCACUGCUGAUGGAUGGGUAGCAUUUGCAGAUGAUGCUGACUUGCUUAAAGGUGCUUGUGGCAAGUCCCUUGCAUCUUUCCCUCAAGGUAAAUUUGAUUCUUAGGCACUCAAUUCAGCCAUCAAAGAAUUGAUUCUUAAAUUAAUGAAUACAUUAACUGCUUGUGUUAAGGAACACUAAAGUUCCUUUCUUUUUGUUAGUACAUCUUUUCUUUCAAAUUUCUUUGCUAUGUUGAACAAUUCCAAUCUUGUAAUGUGCGUUGAUGUCUGUUUGUUCAGGUUCCUUCUUCUCCACAGCUUUGGGUGAACUGAGAAGCUAUGAGAAUCCAAAGAAUAAGAUCACUACAAUUCCAGCUAAAGAGGAAGAAAUAUGGGGAGCAAAGUUCAUGGUAAACAGAUGAGAUUCUCUCUAUGUUACCAGCCAAAUAACACAGAAAAGAAAAAAAAAUUGUGCAAACCUUUUUUUUUUUGGAAUCCAGGAACAUAUACUCAGUGAGGUCAUUUGGUCCCUUAUUAGGGGGAUCUAUUGGUCAAAGAUGAUUGUUUAUCAUGUGGGCUUGUCUUAAAAUCAUGGCUUAGAUUCACUCUGGUUUGGUGAUGCUGAAAUUUGUUCUCUUUUGCAAUAUCUUUUUGGUGAUUUAUUCCAGGUGGAAGGGCCAGCAGUUUUUGCAGUCACAAAAUAGAAGUUCAUAAUCUCCUCCGCCUGCAAUGUGCAAGUUGCUAAAAGACAAGAAAACAGUGGAAGGGGAUUGGAAAGGAAGGGGGGUGAUUUCUGGGACCAUGUAAAAUUUAGUGGAGCUGUCGUUCCCUUAGUAGCCGAUCAUCUUCAACAAAGACCAACUAAACAUAGAGCCAAAAAUUGUACUCCUGUUCUAGCUCAUGCAGGGAGUUGAAGGCCCAUCUACAAAGGAGUAAGGAGACUACCUUGUAUCAAAUAUUUAUAGCUCCUUCUUUAUGAAUUAAAGGCUGCCGUGAGAUGUUAGUGAUUUGCUGCAACUUUGUCGGUCAUUAGUAGCUCUAACAAAGUCUAAUAUGACUAGUGGCAAAUUCGAUGCUUUAUUAUUAUAGAUUUUGCUUAUCAUGCCUUGAUAUUUCUGAUGUAGAAAAUGUUCAAUUUAGCAAGUUAAUACGCCUUUCAUCCUUUUUUCUGCCUUUUGCUUUAUAUCCUCUCCGAUAUUUUCCUUCCAUAUCAUAUGCUUGUCUUGGGCAUCUUCUCUUUCUAUACCUCCGCGCACCGCGCGGAUUAUACCUCCUAGUUUUCAAAUAAAAAGCCAAAGGUGUCUUCUUCAUUAGCUCACCCCAUUAACAACUUCAGCUUGGAGAUUCAGACCUGUAAGCAGCUGCAAAUCAAGAAUUCAUGCAUUAGUAUGAGAAGCCAUCUUUUUCCAUGCUUGUAAGCACAACACAUAGCUGUUGCUUUUUUUUUUUUUGGUUUGGACUGGAAUAGAUUUUGACUGGUAGAACGAGUUUGCUUGCAAGCUUAUGUCAAGAAUAAAAUACUUUACCUAAUAUAGAAAAAAUGGACUUCAACUUGUGGGCUGUAUUAAAUGCUUGAGUAUACCUGCAGAUAUUAAGCUUCAAGAUUUUCUUGAUGCACUCUGACACCAAGGAAAACAUCUUUAAUGAGAUGUAAUUUUCUGACAACAUCAUUCAUAUGCAUCCUAUCAUAUGGUAAUCUUGCAGAGCACUUAAGUCCAAUUUUCAGCAGGGAAAUAAUGCACUCCAUCUCUUUUCCACCAUUGCUAUUUUUCCCUCCAGGAGUCAUAUUUCUGUUUUCAUCUCCUUCAAGAAAAAGCAACGGGUCCACUAUCUCAGAAACUCGUUCAUGCAAAGCCCCAUUAACAUAGUUAUGUAGAUCAAGGUCACCAACGAAUAUAUCAUCUGUUGGCCUCCUUCUUGUAAUCAUUUCUAGCAAAAGAAUGCCGUAGCUGUAGACAUCCCCCUGAGUUGAUGCCGCAAGACCCAUUCCAUACUCUGAGAUUUUGUUUCUAGACAUGUUAUUAUUGGGUAAUAAAAGAAAAACUAUAAAAAAAACUAAGUGAUUAAAAUUAAUCAAAUGUUAGAUUGGGGCAUAAUGGACCUUCUUUUAUAACAAAGUGAAUUAACUAAAAUUAGCUACUAUUCAUCAGUGAUUAGAGAUCUCAUAGUAAUUAUAAUAAAAAAAAUUAAAAAGAAUUAAAUGUCCCAAAAGUUCUAUAUUUCUGUGCACAAUUAAGUAACAUCAGUGACCAUAAAAAGUUGUAAUUACCUGGAGCUGCAUAACCUAUUGUUCCUUUUAUGGCAAUAGUACUGCUGGUUCCUUGCUCCGAAGAAGUGUUUACGGGUUUCGGGAGAAGCCUUGCCAAUCCAAAAUCACCCACAUGGGCAACAAGAUCAUUGUCAAGAAGAAUGUUACUUGGUUUUAGAUCACAAUGAACAAUCUCUGCUUGGCAGUGGUCGUGAAGAUACUGAAAUGCUGAAGCUACAUCAAUUGCAAUAUUUAGCUUCUGAAGAAGAUUAAAACUUCUUGAGCUUGUUGCCUGAUCAGUUGUCUCUGCAGGAUGCAGCCACAAGUCCAGAUUUCCAUUUUCCAAAAACUCAUAGACUAGAGCUUUGAAUUCAUCACCCUUGGAAUCAAUACUGGAGCAAUAACUCACGAUAGAAACGAGGUUUCUAUGGCGAAUAUUUCUCAAUGCUUUGCACUCGGCCUUCAAACUUUUAGAAGCUCCGUUCUUUUGAAGAUCAAGAACUUUGACCGCUACAAGCAUAUUGCCAUGUUUUUCUAGCCUUCCUUUGAAGACAGAUCCAAAAUUUCCUGAACCAAUUAAGUUUUCUGGAGAAAAUCCUGAAGUUGCACGAAGAAGUUCAUGGUAAGAAAUUCGCAAGAGCUUGUCGACUCUUGUAGGCAUGCUAGAGAAUCCGGCCACCAGUCUUCUUUUUCCUUUAUGAUAUACCAAGAAAUAUAACAACAAUGCACCGAGAACCAGAAGCGUUGCUGGUAAAACAAUGGACAUCAAUAUGAUAACCUUCAGCUUUCCUCUGUUUUUCCCCUUAAUCAGUGGACAAGGUGGGAACUCCAAUUCUGGAAUCCCUCCACAGAGUUUGUUGUUGCCAAUCAGUGAUAUUUGACUCGCAUUGCUGAAAACUCCUGUGUUCGGUGCCGCACCCUCGAUGUCGUUAUAGGAAAGGUUUAAGUACCUCAAAAAUUGAAGCUUCUCAAGUUCUUUUGGUAUUGGACCAGUCAAGUUAUUACUUGAAAGGUCUAAUUGCUGGAUGCUCUUCCAAGAAGCCAAAUUUGGUGGAAUUGUUCCUUGGAAAAAAUUGGAUUGCAUAAAAAGAAUCUCCAGAUUUGUACAAUCAGCAAGUGAUAUGGGUAUACCUCCACUAAGUUGGUUUUGGGAAACAUCUAAAUCCACCAAAUGUAUAAGCUUUCCAACUUCAGGAGGCAGAGAACCACUAAACGAAUUUUCACUUAAGUACAAAUGCAUCAGUGAUGAGUGCGUCUGCAGAAAAUGUGGUGAUAUAAUUCCAGUGAAGUUGUUUUGAGAUAAUUGCAGAAAUUGCAAAUUUUGACAGUUUAUAAGAACAUCAAAUAUAUUGCCCCCUUCAAACUGGUUGAUUGAUAAGUCCAGAAGGCAUAGACUGGUGGCGUUACAUAGGGUAGAGACUAUCUGUCCUGACAACUCAUUUUGGUAUAGACUUAAAAAUUGCAAAUUUUGUAAUUUGCCAAAAUCUCUUGGAAUGACCCCUGAAAGAUAGUUCAAUUUAAGGCUAAGGAGAUAUAGGUUGACAAAAUUUCCAAACCCUUCUGGAAUAGUUCCUGACAGUUGGUUUCCUCCCAAGUACAAUGCUGCGAGUUGAUUUGAGAGAUUGGCCAUGAUUUUAGGUACAUUACCUCCAAAUGUAUUGGCACUCAAGGAAAGAAUUCUUAGAUUACUGCAGUUGGUCAGUGAUGCAAUAAAAUCCAAAUCUCCUGUAGAAUUAUUGCCGAAGAGAUUGUGAUUAAGAUUAGCUCUUUUGAGUUGUGUCAGAUCUCCUAAAUUAGCUGGAACUUGGCCUGCGAACUUAUUAUAGGGAAGAUCAAGUAUCUCAAGCCCAGAAGCAUUAGUGAUUGAAGUUGGAAAGUUUCCAGAGAAAUUGUUCCCCUCGACAUACAACACUUGUAGAUUUGGUAGGGUGAGGCCUAUGUUGGUUGGGAGAUUGCCAUGAAAGGAAUUGCCGCCCACUGAAAUGACAGUAAUGGCUGAACUAUUAAAGAUGGAGGCAGGGAUUAUACCAGAUAGUUUAUUUUCUGAAGCUGCAAAAAAAGAUAACCUUUUUAAGAGCCCCAUUUCCAUGGGCAAAUUUCCCUCCAGAUUGUUGAAGGCAAGACUGAGUGAAGUCAGCGAUGAUAAGUUCCCAAUGGAAGAGGGAAUCUCUCCCGUCAAAUUGUUUUGGUUAAAACUUAUUCGUUUAAGCUUCUUCACACUGCUCAGCUGAUCAAUCGGAAUUUUCCCUUCUAGCUUGUUCCUCGUUAGGCUAAUAGUUACCAACUCUGAGCAGUAGUUCAAGUUUGCUGGGAUUUUUCCACUGAUUGCGUUACUUGACAGGUUCAAGACUCUCAGCCUGAAGAGGCGACCGAAUUCUUGGGGAAUCUCACCAUGGAAUUGAUUCUCCCCAAGUUGAAUGAACCUCAUGAAGCUUAGAUUUCCGACCUGAGGAGAUAUGGUUCCAGACAACUGCUUCUGCCUUAGAGUCAAGGCAAUGAUCCUCUGAUGUCGGGUACUACAGGUGACUCCUUCCCACUGACAAUGGUGUUGUGAAUGGUUCCAGGACUUCAGCGCUCCAAACGGGUCGUCAUAUAUCUGAUUCUUGAAUUCAAGCAGAGCAAGGCGAUCAGUUUCAUUUUGAAUUGUUUAGAGGCUGAAACAUGGUUUACUGAAAAGCUCAUGGCAACUAAGAGUAGGAGAAAAAUGUUUGCUAAUGUUGAUGAGCGAAACCCCCACAUGGUAUUUGGAAUUUCGAUGGGCUGUGAAGGCAGAGAUGGAUUAAUUUGCAACAAAUUGAUGAUUGAAUGAUAAAAGUUUCUGUGGAAUGGGAACAAUGUUUGAGCUGUUAUAGAUUCUUGUAGUUCUGCUUUAUAUAGCCCAAACAACUGGAACGAAAUUUGGGCUUAAUUUUCUUGGUAUAUUUUCGAGAAAAAUGAGCUAAACUUCGAUGUGAGAACUUAAUACAGUGAGCUUCCAACAACACAAAUACUGAUGAUAUUUCGCAAUGGCUGUGGUCCAAAGUCAGAGCUCUUAGUCUCUGGAGAUAUCAGAUUCCAUCCAAAGUGUAGACUCUGCUUGAUUGCCAUCCAUAUAUCAGACGAACUGUUAAUUAUUCGCUAAUUGGUCAAGCCUCGGCUUAUCUAUGAUAACUUCAAGCAACUAGAACGAGCACAAGGCCUCAAAAUAUUCUCAGGAUCAUGACUUGACUAGUUAUGCUAAAAGUGAAAUUUCCACAAUUUUCAGUCGUUGGUUAAAAGAAAAAUCAACACAUAUUACUAGACAAUGACCCAUCGAAACCAAGAAGACUGGCUGGCUAGCUGCACUCGACGGAAUCAAGACCCACAUGAUGGCUUGACUACUGGAAACCAAUUGUGGUGUUGCCGCUCAUGACGGGGUGGCAACCACAUUCCAUUGCUUUGCUCUGAGUCUUCACAAACAUGCAAAACUGAGCACAAAUAAUUUACCUGAGGUUGGAGAAAAUGUGUUGUCUUCUCUUGACCUAAUCAACAAAAGCAUUCGCUUCUUCUUACUUAGUUAUAUUUUUAUUCCUUCCCUCAUCUUCUAAUUUACGGCCAACCUCAUGUUUUCCCUCAACUUACAUUUCUUCGUGUGUUUUCCUGAUGCUAAUCACAAUUUUAGCAGCUUGAAGAUCUUCACAUUAAGUUAGAUUUGUAUGUAGUCAGAAAUUAAUUGAGAUGACUAGUCAGUGGCAGAUUUAAAGUAGGGGCAGGGUCACCAAAUUCCACUAGUAUAGCCUUCAAUUUUAGUAAGUUUUUAGCUUUGCCUCCCAAUAAAUUUUUCUGAAAAGUGAAUGUACUGCUCCAAAAUCAAUCACUAGGUUUGUGAUUUUAUGGAAUUGGAAUACUAAACAAUUCAAAAUCAAAUUCUUUUUACUCUAAUCAUUUAGUUUCCUUGAAAGUCAUUUUAAUUUACUACUCAUUAGUUAAAUACGUUCUUGGGAUUUUUUCCAAUAAAAUAAAAAGUACAUUUUGUUAAUAAGUAUAUAGAAUUAAAUAAUUGUCCGUGCAAUGAGAAAUAAAGAUAAAGUAAUAUUUUCCAAUGUAUCACACGUCAACGAGCAAUUUAAAGAUGUUUAGUAUGCAUUUCAAAAGAAAGCGAUUAUCUUAUUAGUGAGUUUUAGCAUGCCAUUUUGGGUUAUAUUAAUCAUGAUGUACAUUUAUUACAUUUGCUUGUUAUACAAAUGUUAUUGUUAUGUCUUUCAGAAAAAUAAAGAAGAAGCUUUAAUAUUAUUUUUGCUUCACUAGAAAUUAUUUCUGGCUCUGCCCUAUGACCAGUGUAAAGGUUUACAUUAGCAUGUUGGUAACUCAGAAAUGCCCUUCUAUGAGAGACAUUAAUUUCCAAAAGCUAAAGAAUAAAAUUAAUAGAAUGGACAAAUCGUACAACAGAUCAAAUUUGCUUCAAUAGAAUGGUCAAGUUUUUUUUCUUAUUUAUUCUUAGGUAAGUUAUACUUUAUCAUCUUGUUUAUUAGAGCCAUUUCACAUAAUCUCCUUGUGAUUAAACUGAAGUGUCAAGCAAUAGAAAAUAACGUUCAAACUACAAAACUUCACCUCAAACUUCACAUUCUACUUUGUAGUCUUCUCGGAGAGAAAAUCUCCCUUCAUGCCAGAAGCUCUCUAAAAAUAAAAACAAGCCAAUCUUCAAAACUUCACACCCUCGCCCACAAAAGAAACCAUUCUUUUUGUACCUAAUCAAUCCCACCGAAAACAAAAGCAAAAGCCACAUUUGUUUGUCGGGCUUCUUCUCACCAAAGGCACCGUGAAUCAAGAAAGGAAAUUAUCUUUACACAAUGGUCAAGUCUUCACGGUCCCCACCUAAUUGAGAUGUUGGCUAGCCAAAUGCAAUUCAAUUCUUCUUCAUCAGCAAAAGGAAAGGGCGUUGGUUUACACCAUGCAUGUGGGCCAAUCGUGUAAAGCUUUUAGAAGCUCUCACAGUAAUAUUCUCAAGAAGGUUUCUGCUCCAAUUUCUGAAAUUGGGUUUAAAUACCAAAUAUAAAUAUAUAUCACAAUUAAAGCAAUACUUGACAAGAUCAAAGAGAAAAAUUAACAAUAAAAUUACUAACAAUUGACACCCUAUCAGUUGGCCUCCUUCUUGUGAUCAUCUCCAGCAGAAAUAUCCCAUAGCUAUAAACAUCGCCUUGAGGUGAUGCAGGGAGACCCAUCCCGUACUCUGAAAUUUUCUUUCAAUAUGUUACUCUGAUGAAAAAGCAACUCAAGGCAACUCUUCGAAAUAGGAUUAAUGAAUCAAGUGUGAGAAAUCGUAACUAAGUAGAAGCAAAAUGCAAAUGCUUUGCAAAAACAACUGGCUUUGGUCAGGGGUAAUUAAUUCUAUUACCGCAGUUAAGAAGUAAGAAUACACGACAAUAAAAAUAUAAGUUUAUUAUUAAAAAUUUUUAAUUACACUUUAGCUUGAAUUCUGUUUCACAGAGAAUCUAGUGUUGUUUAAGAACCAGUGAUUCAAUUUGGUUUAGGCUUUUUGUAUCUACAAAUCUUGGCCAUACCUUAAUAGAUUGGAAUUGGAUAUAAAUUACCUGGAGCCGCAUAUCCGAUUGAUCCUUUAAUUGCAACAGCACUGCUGGUUCCCUGGUCAGAAGAAGUACUGAUGGUUUCAGGAAGAAGCCUUGCUAAUCCAAAUCACCCACGUGAGCAACGAAGUCAUUGUCAAGAAGAAUGUUGCUUGGCUUCAAAUCACAAUGAACAAUUGUUGUUUCACAUUGGUUGUGAAGAUAAUGCACCGCUGAAGCAACAUCAAUUGCAAUAUUCAGCCUCUGAAUAAGAUUAAGGCAGCUGGAUGUUGUUGCUUGAUCAGUUGUUUCUGGAUGCAACCACAAGUCAAGAUUUCCAUUUUCCAUGAACUCGUAAAACUAGAGCCUUGAAUUCAUGACCUUUGGAAUCAACGCUGGAGCAAUAACUUAAGAUAGACACUAAAUUUCGAUGGUGGAUGUUUCUUAGUGCUUUGCACUCAGCCUUGAAGCUCUUAGAAGCCCCAUUCUUCUGAAGGUCAAGAACUUUAACUGCAACAAGCCUAUCUCCGUGUUGAUCUAGCCUGCCUUUGUAAACAAUCCCAAAACUUCCUGAUCCGAUCAAGUUUUCUGGAGAAAAUCCCGAAGUUGCACGCGGGAGUUCAUGGUAAGAAACUCUCAAGAGCUUAUCCACUGUUGGGUGCACGAAAGAUGAGCUGGCUUCUCUUCGAUAUCUUUUUUGGUAUACUCCCAAAUAGAACAACAAUAUUAUACCAAAAGCCAAGAAUGUUACUAGUAAAAUUGUGGAUAAUAGGACAAUGAUCUUAUGCUUUUCCUUUUUCUUUCCCAUGAUCACUUGACAAGGUGGGAAACGCAAUUCAGUAAUGCCUCCAAAAAGUUUGGUGUUUCCCAUCAAAACUAUUAGGCUUGCAUUCCCAAAUAUUCCGGUUGUUGGUAUCUUCCCAUAAAGGUAAUUGUAAGAAAGGUUCAGAUACUCAACGGCUGAAGUUUCUCAAGGUCUCUUGGUAUUUGUCCAGUCAAGUUGUUAAAUGAAAGGUCUAAUACUUGGAUGGCUUUCAGAGAAGCCAAUUUUUGAGGGAACCGUCCCUUCGAAAAAUUUGGCCUGCAUUUCAAGAGUCUCUAAAUCCAAACAAUCAGCAAGCGAUUGGGGUAUUUCUCCAGAAAAUCUGUUGUAGGCUACAGUGAAAUUUACCAUGUGCAUCAGGUUUCCUACUUCCAGAGGUACAGAACCAUUGAAUGUGUUCUGUCUCAAACCCAGAUAUAAUAGCAAGGUGUGCAUCUCAAAAAACUGUGGUGAUAUAACACCACUAAGAAUAUUUAUAGAUACGUCCAGAUAUUGCAGAUUUCCACAGUUCAUGAGAAUACUGCCAAAUACAUCGCUGCCUUCAAAAAGAUUGUCUGCUAAGUCCAGAUGGUACAGAGAGCUAGUAUUACACAAGUUUGACGAAAUUUCUCCCGACAACCUGUUUCGUUCUAGACCCAAAUAUUGCAUGUUUGAAAUUUACCAAAGUCACUUGGUAUGACUCCUGAAAGAGAAUUCCAUGACAUGUCAAAGACAAUUAGAUUGACAAGAUUUCCAAGUCCUUCCGGGAUAGUUCCCCAUAUUUGAUUUCCUCCGAGGCCUAAUUCAGUGAGCCCAUGUGUGAGGUUUGCCAUGGACUUAGGCAAUUCACCACCAAAAUUAUUGUCAUCUAAGGCAAUAGUAUAUAGAUUACUAUUGCUUGUCAAUGAUCCAAUGAAAUUCAAGUCUCCAGUAGAAUUUCUCCCUAACCAAUUUCCAGAAAAUGCUAUUGAUUGAAGGUUUGAUAGCUGGGAACUUGCCCUUCAAGCUUAUUGUCAUCAAGGGCAAGUUGCUCAAGCCUAGAAGCAUUGGUGAUGGAAAGUGGAAUGUUGCCAUUGAAGUCGUUCAUCCUAAUUCCUAGGAAUUGCAGAUUUGGUAGGGUGAGACCUACGUCGGUUGGAAGGUUGCCAUUGUUGAAUUCAAAGCCUAAAUUGUUGACUUUUUUCAAGUCACAAUUGUUGAAUUUGUAGCAUCAAUUUCUAUCCCACAUCGGUGGAAUUGAGAGCUUGGGUAAGGGCUUGAGAGUUAUGCAAAUCAAUUCAAUUACACCAACAACAAUAAUUCUUUUGUAAUUCUUUCUUCUCCUAAAUUAUAAGAGCAGGCUGCUUGAGUGGUGCUCGAAAAUUAGGCAAAAUUGGUCGAAUUUCGUUAUCAAUUUUUCGGAUGCGUUCUUUCCUUAUCUCUUUUAUUUAUUCCGCAUUUAUUUAGUAGUUUCUUUUCAAUUGUAGUAUAGUAUUCAAUAUAUAUUUGUCGGGUUUAUUUGUAGUAUUUUAUACGAUUCAUUUGGGUGUAUUUUCUUAUUCGUGUAUACGUAUUAUUUAUGUAUACACCAAUCUAGUUGUGAUAAUACACCGUGCACGUAAAUUCUGUCUAGAAAACUGGAUUUUAAAUGGGACCGCUUGUGACCCCUCUAACCUUUUCUGGGAAUUUAUUUGGAAUGGUAAUUCUAUCUAAGGAGAUUGUUUUGACGAUCUUUCUUGGGAAUUACUGAAUUGGUUUAAAUCACUAGUUGAAUUUUUUAGUGAAAAAUUACCCGAUUUCUCCAACAAGUGGUAUCAGAGUCAAAGGUUUGUCCUUUGGCUUGUUUGUAAUUUGUUAUAUUGAAUUGACAGGUGCCGAACCUGUGCAAUAAUAAUAAAUAAAUCCUAACUACCACCUAAAACAGUCAGUAAUCAAUUCGAGUACUGGAGCAGGGACUCUAGGUGUGCAAUGGGUUACUUGAUUCACCCUGUUCCCGAAGAGUUUGCUUAAUCCAAUAUACCUGAAUUAAUUAUUUAACUGAAUUCCCUAACUAGUAGACAGUGGUAACCAGGGUCGUCUCCUCAGGGACUAGCAAGAUAUUUUGUUUCUUUUUAAGUCAAGAUUAAUGGGGGGGUUUUGGUAUCAAAUGCCAACUAAACAAAUUAAAUGCAGAAAAUAAUGAAUUAAAAGAAAUAACUAAGAGAAACUCUAGCCAAAGGAGUACUUCAGAAAUGGUCCAUACACUGAUCAUUUAUGCAAAAAUAAUCCCAACAUUUAUUGAUAGAUUGGUUAUAGUUGUCAUGCACGCGAUAAACAACCAACCCUUCCUUAAUUUAUCGACAGCUAAGGUACGACCGUUAGCUAUUUCUCUAACCCGAAAACAACCUAGGUACGACCGUAGGAUUUAAUUUUUAGAUUGCAUUAUUAAUUAGAAAGGCCCAAUCCUAACUAACAAACACGCUAUGAGGGUUUAUUUAAGCCAGAUCAAAUAUUCCUCUGACACAAAUCCAAUUAUGCCAGUUGCUACUGGGAUAGAGAUAACGAACAAUUACGGAUUCAAUUACCCCUAUAUAGCAAAAUAGCCUAUGUGAAUAAUUAAUUAUUGCGCACUAACCAAUCAUACACAAGGCUAUAGCGAUUAAAAGCAAGGAACAUGUAAAUAUUAAUAAAUGAAGAGAACAAUUAACGAUGGUUUAGAUCUCACAGUAUUAGUUGAACCAAUUCAUCAGUUGCCCCCUUGUCUAGAAUUGGCGAAUUAGCUCGCCAUUAAUGAAGGACAAACCGCGCGUGUGGAAGGGAGAAAGGUUCACAAGUCGGUUCUCCCACUCCGGUCAACCCCAGGAGGAAGAAACACAAGAUUUUAUCGCCUCCAAUUGUCUCCAAAAAGAACAACGCAAACGAGGGUCUGAGGCCCUAUUUCAAUGUCGGUCAAAACCAAUUGGAAAGCAAAGCUAAUAGUCAACAAUUGCGGCCCUUAUUUUCUUUUCCCAAUUGCUGAGCAAGAUACACGAGAGAAAAGGUUCCUCAAUUGCUUGAUUUCUCAAUUUGUCAAUUCAAAACAUGAAGAGUUGGUUUCUCCCCAGUCAACAAUAAUGGCUUCCCCCCUUUUAAAGUGUAUCCUCCUCGAAAACCUAAAAACCCAGCGAAGAAAAACUAACUACCGCCUCCUGUUGUCGACCGAAGUUCCAGGAAGGGAUUUUUCCCUAUCGCCAAUUGUUGUGUUUUUCCUUUUUCCCCCCAAAAUAGAAAUAACAAGACUCUCUCAAAUAAAAUAAAAAUAAAGUAAAAUCUAUUACAAUUAAAUGUCUUCAGCUCCUCAAGCGGGCCCCAUGUAGGAUGGAUCUUCUAAAACUUGAAUUUAAGCACUUUUCGUUAUCCACUCCUGUUAUUAGUACCAAAACAAAAUAUCAGUAGAAUCCACCCAAUUAACGAAAAUAUUUAGUCAAUUAAUUGUGCAAUACUGCCCAAAAUACCCACUAAAAUGCACCCUAUCAAUCUCCCCCACACCUGAACUAUGCUUGUCCUCAAGCAUAAUCAACUCAGAAAUGCAAUAAAGAUACUAAGCAAAUCACAGCAGUUCAUACCAAGAAUGGCGUUCCAAAUUCCCCAAUAACCUCAUCGACAUCAGAAUAUACCAAAUCAACAAUUCUCGCAGUUUAAAGUGCACUCAUUCACUCCAAAGUGUAUAUGAAAUGUAUAUAAGAUGGCUCUCAAAUCAACACAAUAGAAUGACACUACCAUAAGUUUGCUCAUAUAUCAUAUCUCCACCACUUACUCAUGAAUUUAAAUGCAGCAAUCAAGGGACUUUGCAAGGUUGUAAUGGGGCUAGGGUGAGAAGGUAGGAUAAAAAGGAGUCAAAAGGGUGUAAAAGUAUAAAGAAAGUGCUCAGAAAUUCAUUACACAGAUUCUUGCACAUUGGGAACUUCAAGGCAUCUCAACCAUUACACAAGUGAAGUAAAUUAGCACUUGCCGCAACCUUCGACUUUUCUUUUCUCCUCCUUUCAUUCAUCUACUUCCCUUUUGUCUUCUUUUUUUUUUCUUUUUUUUCCUUUUUUCAAUAACUCCCAACCAGCACCAUAAAAAUCAAUUUUACUUGUUGAUUUCCUGCACUUUGUCUUCUUUUCACAUUUCCCUUUUGCUCCCCCUUUUUUUUUUCAUAGAUAGGUGUAAUGCCCCUCAAAUAAUACUCCAAAAUUCUGUAUAAUGAAAUCAAAACACUUCUUCACACGAGGUUCAAAAAGAAAGUCUAAAGAGAGGUUUUUCGGCUAAAAACUAGGGUCUCAAGCGAAGAAUAGGAUGUAAAGCUCAACUUGGCUGCCUAAUGGUAAAUAAUCCAAGGGUUGGUUAUAAGAAAGUCCAAAAAUGGCUCAUUCCUAAGUGCCCUAUCAUUUCAAUGCAUUAAACUCAUUUAAAUGCAGUCUUGACAUGCAUAACCGAGCAAGUUCUAGAAUGACAAACCAUGUGCACUAAUCACUCAACAAAACGAAAAAUUAAACCCAAAAAAUCACACAAGUGAUCAAAUUGAUGUCAAGUGCAGCAUAUUAAUCAAUCAAUUCAGUAUCAAGGAAAGUAGAACACCCCCUGGCAUGAACUUACUAUGUACGCUCAUAUCUCAAUUUGCAUUCAUCAUCGUUUAACUAAAAACACAACCAGAACAUAGUCCAAAGCACGCUGUCACGAGGUGUUUAACUCCCUCAAUUAAACCGACCAUGUGAUGGCACUGGUAAGUCCUUCUACCAGUCAGCCUAUGCGACACACUUUCCUACAAGUAUUUAGAACACCAAACACUUAGGCAAAGUAAAGGAACACACGCACAAGUUACAGCCAACACGGCCAACCCUGUAUUGCACAAUAACGUUUACAAGGAAUUUCUACAAACACUUGGCAUGCAGAACAUCUAAGGGUGAUUCCCACUAUCUGAGACUCUCUGCCCUUUAGUCUCUGCCUAGCCCAAUAUUUAUAGGCAUGUUACGGUUGACAAAAGACCCAACCGCUGGUCUUAACUGAACGUCCACGAAACUAGGAACCGGCUAGGAACAAGGGCCGAGUUGGCUGGUAACUGCCAGCAACUCCCAGCAACUGCCAUCGACGGUUAGCAACUGCCCAACGUUCAUUUCUGGCGAGCACAGUAACCGCUGCACCAUUCCGCGCGCCCCGCUUCCCGCCAUCGUACGUUCCGUGCCCAGCUUGCCCCAACACUUAGCAAUCUUACGCACCGUGGUUCCUAGCCCUUGGAACCACCCAAAACAUCCCACCGAUCCACAGUCAAUCCGUGGCCUUGGCCCCUAGCCCUUGGCCUUGACUUGGCUUAGUUACAGUUAUCCCUCUAUAUAGGUAUCUUAAGGGAAAACUUCCAACCGUUAGUAGAGGCACCCCUCUGUCCCCAACUAACUUAGAGGCACCUGAUGCCCCUAGAACUUUCCCCAGCCCAUACUUAGGCUAGGAAAACACUAUCAAACAUGGGUCCACUCGUUUCCAACAAGCUUCACUUUCGGCCUUCCACCUAGGCCAUGGCUUGGCCGAACUUGGCCACGGCCGCGCGCGUUCCGUCUGGUCCGCGCCCUAAGGGGCUAACAAACCACCCCCACCUGAAGAGGUUGACGCCCUCGUCAACUUGGCUUGCUUCCGCACAUAGGGGUGAGCAAUUACGGUAAUUACCGAAUUACCGACCGAAAUCGAUUUCAAGUUGGUAAUUCGAAUUCGGUAAUUCGGUAAUUCGGUAAUUAGGUCGGUAAAUCGGUGGUAUCGAAUUAGUAAGAAUCGAAUUAGGGUCGAAUUUGGUUUUGGGGUUUUUGAAUUCGGAUUUACCGAAUUCGAAUUUAAUUCGGUAAAACGGUAAAAUAUUACCGUUUUCAAAUUCGAAAUUCCGAAUAAUAUUAUACCUCAAGCUUUUGUUAGAUGUUCCAAUUUCAGACUUUCAGUACCCUAAAUUAGCAUUCGUUCUAAUUUCACUAUUUCUGCUCUCCUCUUCCUCUCGUUCCUUUACGCCGUCACCCACUGAAGUCUAAGCCAAGCUGUUUGCCUGUUUCUGAGUUUCUUCUCUCCUCAACUGAAGAUACUUUCUCAGUUUGACAGCUUCUCCUUUCCUCUCCUCAACUACAGAAGCCUCCUCCAGCCGGUUCUCUCCAGUCUCCAUACUCACUGUAACAGAUUUUUGCCGCCAAUUUGAGAGAAUUUGUUGACGGUCUAGACGUUACUGGGAUCCAAGAUUUAGGGUUUGUCUCCUCUCCCUCUCUCUCUUUCUCACACAUUUCUUUUGGGGCUCGGCCUGUUUUGUCCAUUUUGCUCUUUUUUCCUCUAUUAAAAUGGAAACUAACAAAUGAAUUCUGCGUGUAAAUUUACCUUUGUAUCGAAUUAUUCUUCCUGGCUGUUCUUUUUGUUCUAUUGAAUUGAUUUUUUACGGCUUUUCUUCCUGGCUGAUUUUUUACUUUUGUGUCGGAUUAAUCAUUUAUGGCUUUUUUUUAAUUUUUGAAGUGAGAGAAUUUAGUUAAUUACUUAAUUUACGGUUAGAUCGUCCAUCAAGGGCACGACCUUACAAAUCGAACUGCCGUCACUGACAGGUGCCGAACCUGUGCAAUAAUAAUUACUAAAAAGUCCUAAUUACCACAUCAAUUAAAUAAUUAUAAAACAAAUCCAAGUACUGGAGUAGGGACCCUAGGUGUGCAAUGGGUUACUUGAUUCACCCUGUUCCCGAAGAGUUUGCUUGAUCCGAUCUACCGGGUUUGUCUAUAAAAAUACUAAUUUUGCGUACAAUGGCAAGUAGGAUCGAUUCCACAGGGAGCAGGUAGGAAAUUAUUUCUUUCCAAAUCAGCAGAACAAAAUUGGGGGAUUUUCAAUGGGAGAGAAAUAAAAUAAAAGUAAAAUAAAAACAAAGCGAACUAAAUUCAAAACCAACUCACAAAGCACAAGUCACUAAAAAAAAUAGCAAUUAAUAAAAGUCUACCCAAAGGAUUAACUGCUCAGGCACGGUCCAAAUAAAUGAUCAUAGAUGCAAAGAUAUUUCACCCAUUCAUCACUAGGUUGGUUAUAGUUAUCAAUAAGCUCUGACAACCAAUUCUUCCUUACCUUUUCGACAGUCAAGGUACGACCGUUGACUGCUUCCCUAACCAGAUAACAACUCUAGGUACGACCGUAGGAAUUUAAUUACCCAAUUGCAUUAAAGCUAGAAAAAUCCAACCCUAACCAAUAAACACGCUAAGAGGGUUUAUUUAAAUUAGAUCUUGCAUUUCCCCAUCAUAAAGCCAAUUAUGGUGGUUGCCACGGGGUGUUAACUAAAUGAACAAUUACGGAUUCUAUUUAAUUAACGUGGCAGUAGGCUAUUAAAUUAAAUCAAAUACCCGGCCGUUGAUAUUCAAUUAAUCAAAUACCCAUGAACAAUUAAUUCAGAAAAUGCACGAAUAGCAACAAAUUGGGGGAAAUAAUGAAGAUUCGAUUAGAUCUCACAGAUAUUAUGAACCGCGCCCUUGCGUCACCCUUUGGGUAGAGGAGGAAAUUAGCCGCUCCUCAUCGUGUCAAUCCCGCGUGGUUUAAUUGAAUACAUUCAAUUGAUUGCCUAAGAAUUGGAAAAGCCCAAAAGGAAUCUCACGGAAUUUAGAAGAGUCAAAAGCAAAAAGUGAAAAAGGGUCUCCGUUGUACAGAGCCCAGAUGCAAUCCGCAGAAAUAUUCAACGUCUGGCCGCUAGCCGCCGCAGAAACAAAAGUCACGGAAAAGCAAGGACAAAGCCGCUGACAAAAAGUAGGAAAAGAAAAAUUAAAGCUACGGCUCAACAGUUCCUUCCUUUCCCAUCUUGCUUUGUCCUCUUUAUAUAGCCGCCGCAAUUCAAGUCAAAAAGCAGAGACGUUUGGAGCAAUUUCAGCUAAUAGAAGCUAUUUCCUUUGGAGUUUUAAUCCAAUGCUUCGGGUUCACGUGGACCACGGUCCGGCUUUCGGUUUCGUCCUCCUUCUAAGGCGUGGCCACGCUCUGAAAUGAAAAGUCUUCUGGAAAUUUUUUCCCGCGAUAUCUUUUUAAUGCUAACCACCUACAAUUCACACAAAUGUCAAAUAUGAGCGAAAUCCCCUUUCUUAGCACCAUGAAUAGCCAAAAUUAGGACAAGAUGACAGUGCAAAACGUGCUAAAUAACGGCUCUAUCAAAUCCCCCCAAACCUAGACAAUGCUUGCCCUCAAGCAUUCCGAAGCUCAGACGUACAACCAAGAGAGCGGAGGUCAUGCAGUAGUCUAUACUAACACAAGCAUCUAGUGUCCCUGACAAUAUCGCCAAAAUUAGAACACACCGGACAGGCUGUAAUUCAAAGAAGAUAUAUGAAUACUAGGAAUGCUCAAUUCAACAUCACGGAAUGCCAUUACCAUAGGCUUGCACAUUUAUCACAUCUCCACCACUUAAAAGUGAAUCGAACACAUAAAUCAAAGGGACUUUAAUAGGGUUGUAAUGGGGCUCAGGUGAAAGGCGGGUUAAGAAGGUAUAGAUAGGGGGUAAAGUGUCAAGAGAAUGUCCGAAACUCCCCAAUAACCACAGUGCUUUACCAGAGGGGUUUCACUAACAAGGCAGUUUCCAUUUGCUGUACACCUUAUACAAGUGCCCCAAAUUUUUUUUUUUUUUUUGUGAAACUGCUCACAAGGCGUGGGCACGCCUUGUAGCCCAUAGUCCUCUGGUCACGAGGUCUAUUCAGUUUUUUUUUUUUUUUUUGUCCACGCGCGGGCACGUCUUGAGACUGCUAGUCCCCAAUUCGCUCAGGGCACCUGGCGCACCCUUCCCAAGGCGUGGGCACGCCUUGAAACCUCUAGUCUUCUGUCCAACACCACAAAAACAGUCAAAACAUUAAGAUAAAACUGAAAAAUCGCAGAGUAAGUAAAAAUGAUCACAACUAAUAUUGUAAUCCUUGGGUUGCCUCCCAAGCAGCGCCUUUCUUUAACGUCUUUGACUAGACAUGGCCUUCAAUUGUUUAAAUCUCUCCAUUUGGAUCUUCAAGGAAUAAAACCUCCAUUUGCUCAUUAUUAAACCCUUCGUAAUAAGGCUUUAGACGGUGACCAUUGACUACGAACCUUUUCUCCGUCUUAAGACUUUGUAUUUCCACCGCACCAAAAUGAGAAAUGUUAGUAACAACAAAUGGACCAAUUCAACGGGAGCGCAACUUACCAGGAAAAAGCUUAAGUCUUGAGUGAUAAAGUAAGACUUUUUGCCCUACGACAAACGACUUUCUCGAAACUUGUUGAUCAUGAAAAACUUUGCUUUUCUCCUUAUAAAUUGCGGAAUUCUCAUAGGCUUCAUUCCUUAGCUCUUCCAACUCUUGUAAUUGGAGCUUUCUGUGUCCUCCAGCCUCCAUGAGAUCCAUAUUACACCGCUUAAGUGCCCAAAAUGCUUUGUGUUCAUAUUCCACCGGGAGGUGGCAAGGCUUCCCAAAAACUAACCUGUAAGGGGACAUCCCAAUCGGUGUCUUAUAUGCAGUGUGGUAGGCCCAGAGAGCAUCUUCCAAUUUCACACUCCAAUCCUUUCUAUCAGGCCUCACCAUCUUCUCCAGGAUCGACUUAACCUCUCUAUUCGAUACUUCGGCCUGACCAUUCGUUUGGGGAUGGUAGGGAGUGGACACUUUGUGGAGCACACCAUACUUACGAAACAAGGCGGUGAUCGUUUUAUUGCAAAAGUGGGUGCCCCUGUCACUCACUAUGGCUCUUGGCAUUCCAAAACGGACGAAAAUGUUAGAUCUUAUAAAAUCUGCCACCACUCUAGAAUCAUUAGUUCGGGUGGCUUUCGCCUCCACCCAUUUGGAAACAUAGUCAACAGCAAGUAUAAUGUACAAGAAACCAAAAGACGAGGGGAAGGGACCCAUGAAAUCUAUACCCCAGACAUCAAAAAUCUCAACAAAUAAUAUGGGGGUUUGACUCAUUUGAUCUCUUCGAGAGAUAUUCCCCACCCUUUGACACUUAUCACAAGAUUUGCAAAACAGAUAUGCAUCCUUAAACAGAGUAGGCCAAUAAAAACCACUUUCUAACACUUUACGAGCUGUCCGCUUUGGACCAAAAUGCCCUCCACAUGCAAACGAAUGACAAAAAGUCAAAAUAGAGUGAAACUCACCUGCACUUACACACCUUCUUAUCACCUGGUUCGAGCAUUGCCUCCAUAGGUACGGGUCAUCCCAAAGGUAAUGUUUGGCAUCACUCUUUAGCUUAUCCCUUUUAGCUUUUGGCCAACCUGCAGGUAAUUGAUUCGUGACCAAAAAAUUUACAAUGUCAGCGUACCAAGAUGUUAACGAAUCAAUGGCUAAUAAUUGUUCCUCAGGAAAUGAUUCUCUUAACGGUAGAUCCUCUUGAUUUGUGAGCAGUCGGCUCAAAUGAUCAGCCACCAAAUUCUCAGCUCCGCUCUUAUCCUUGAUCUCUAGAUCAAAUUCCUGCAGGAGCAAGAUCCAUCUAAUGAGCCGUGGUUUGGCAUCCUUUUUCGCCAACAGGUACCUCAAGGCUGCAUGGUCAGAGAAAACAAUUACUUUUGCACCCAAUAAAUAUGACCUAAAUUUCUCUAGUGCAAAAACAACAGGUAGUAAUUUCUUCUCCGUCGUGGAGUAAUUAAGUUGGGCUCCACUUAAGCUCUCGACGCGUAGUAGAUCGCGUGUGGCGCUCUUCCAAUUCUUUGCCCCAAAACGGCCCCCACGGCAUAGUCACUCGCGUCGCACAUGAUUUCAAACGGAAGGCUCCAAUCUGGGGGUUGAAUAACAGGUGGCGAUGUCAAUGAUUCCUUCAGUUUAUCAAAAGCCACCUUACAUUCAUUUGUGAAAUCAAAUGGCACGUCCUUCUGCAGUAACUUGAACAGAGGAGCUCCUAUCUUUGAAAAGUCUUUGAUAAAUCUCCUGUAAAAACCUGCAUGGCCCAAAAACGAACGCACUUCCCGUACACAUACGGGGUAAGGUAGAGCAGAAAUAAGGUCUAUUUUAGCUUUAUCUACCUCUAUGCCCUUAGCCGACACAACGUGCCCUAAGACAAUGUCAUGAUCUACUAUAAAAUGACACUUUUCCCAAUUAAGCACCAAAUUCGUCUCUAUGCACCUUUUCAGAAUUAGAGCUAGAUUUUCAAGGCAUUCAUCAAAACUGUCCCCAUACACACUAAAAUCAUCCAUGAAUACCUCAAUUAUUUUUUUCACAUAUUCUGAGAAAAUACUUACCAUGCACCUUUGAAAAGUUGCCGGAGCAUUGCAGAGACCGAAAGGCAUCCGACGGUAGGCAAACGUGCCAAAUGGGCAUGUGAAGGUAGUCUUCUCCUGAUCUUCUGGUGCGAUCGCGAUCUGAAAGUAACCUGAAAAGCCAUCCAAGAAACAAUAGUAAACACGACCUGCCAAUCGUUCUACCAUCUGAUCAAUAAAGGGAAGGGGGAAAUGGUCCUUUUUAGUCACGGCAUUUAGCUUCCUGUAGUCGAUGCACUGACGCCAGCCAGUAGCUUUCCUGACCGGGACCAUAUCACCCUCCUGAUUCUCCUCCACGGUCACUCCCGCCUUUUUCGGGAUUACCUGGACAGGACUCACCCAUGGGCUAUCCGAGAUAGCAAAAAUGAUCCCCACCUCUAGAAGCUUGAGUAUCUCCUUUUUCACAAUCUCCAUCAUCAGGGGGUUCAACCUCCUUUGAGCCUGUCUUACUGGCUUCGCAUCUUCCUCGAGCCGAAUUCGGUGCAUACAUAAGGAUGGACUUAUUCCCUUGAUAUCUGCUAUACUCCACCCAAUUGCCUCCUUAUGCUCCCUCAGGACCCGCACUAGUUUGUCUUCUUGACUUGGAGACAGGUGCGCAGAGAUGAUUACCGGCAGUGUCUCCCGGUCUCCUAGGAAUGCGUACUUAAGAUGCUUUGGCAGAGGCUUUAAUUCUAACUCUGGUGCCUGCACAACUGAAGGAAGUAGCUUUGUUUGAGCCUCUGGCACAAAAAGAGAAGUAAGCUCAUACCUUGAGGAUACGGGUGGAAGUGAGUGUAAGGCUUCAACAGCAUGGAGUAAAUCUUCCCUUAGGUCCAUAUCAAGAGUUACACCCAACUCCAGAUGCUUGAUUAGAGCCACUUCCAAUGCGUCUUUGCCAUCUAAUUCGAAAGUUUUCUGCACAAAAGGCUCAAUAACACUCAAAGCAAAGACCGAGUUAGAUUCUUCUGGAUACUUCAUCGCUUCGAAAAUAUUGAAAUUCACAGUUUCACCAUCAAAUUCCAUUGACAAAGUAUCCUCAUUCACAUCUAUUUUAGUCCUGGCAGUGCUAAGAAAAGGUCUACCUAACAGGAUAGGUGACGGGCUUAAUGAUUUCUCAUCUCCCAUGUCCAAGAUAUAAAAAUCUGCAGGAAAAACCAGUUCAUUUACCUGAACCAAGACAUCCUCAACUAGCCCCUCUGGAUAUGCAUUUGUGCGAUCAGCUAGUUGGAUUAUGAUGGCUGUUUCCUUAAGUGGCCCAAGAUUUAGGGAAGCAAAAAUGGUCUUUGGCAUCACAUUGAUUGACGCCCCUAAAUCUAACAUUGCUUUCCUGAUCGGUGUAUUCCCUAUCUUACAGGGGAUCGUGAACAUACCUGGAUCUCCACACUUGGGUGGGAGCUUCCUUUGGAGCAUUGCUGACACAUUCUCUCCCACCGCUACUCUUUCGUCCCCUCUUAGUUUUCUCUUAUGGGUGCACAGAUCCUUGAGAAAUUUAGCAUAUUUUGGUAUCUGCUUUAUUGCAUCCAGUAAAGGGAUGUUAAUCUCCACUUUUUUGAACACGUCUAGGAUCUCUUUCUCCUUCUCUGCCUUCUUCGUCUUCGCCAACCUGCAAGGAAAAGGGGGUAAAUUAGCUUUAACGGGUAUUGAUGGUGCGAGAUUUACCCCAGGACCCCCACGAAUGUGUCCUUCUUCCUCUAUCUCCUGCUCGAUCUCGUCUUCACUUUUACUCUUUGAGUUCAUGACCUUCGGCCCCUCCACUUCCUUUCCACUCCUCAAUGUCAUGGCACUUACAUUUUUGGGAUUUGCCUCAGGUUGUGAUGGUAAUUUCCCAUAUGUGUGGGACUCCAGGCGGUUUAUAGCAGUUGCCAUUUGACUCAUGCGAGUCUCCAUGUCUUUCAUGCCUACUUUGGUGUCCUGUUGGAACUGAGUGGUGGUCGUGACAAGUUGAGUGGUAGUGUUGGCCAAACUCUUGACAAUUUCUUCCAAAGAACUCCCUGAGCUUGAGGAUGAGGGUUGAGACUUAUGUUGCCACGGUUGCUGAAAUCCUGGAGGCCGAUUAGAGAAUGCAUUUUGUGGCCUACUACCAUAGCUGAGAUUGGGGUGAUCUCUCCAACCAGGAUUGUACGUAUUGGAAUACGGAUCGUAUUGCCUACGGGGCGCGGGCACGCCUCCGGCCAUGUUUACUUGUUCUGCCCCAUCCUCUUGUAAAAUGGGCACGAGUCUGUGCAAUGGUCCAUGCUAGUGCAGAUUCCACAUACUUUCGCUCGCGGCAUGUCUCUCAUGGCUAAUUGCCUAACAACCGAUGUCAAUUCUGACAGUUGCUGCUGUAAGGAUGAAAUCUCUACCUCGUUGACUCUACGGGGAGGGUUGCUCUCACGGAAGCCAAAUUGCUGGGAGUUCUCUGCCAUGGCUUCGAUGAGCUCCCACGCUUCCCUCGGUGUCUUGUUUGCAAGUGCUCCUCCACUGGCAGCGUCAAUGAUACUCCUGUCUGUUGAUUGGAGCCCCUCAUAGAAGUAUUGGAUUAACAGUUGCUCACUAAUUUGAUGCUGCGGGUAUCUAGUGCACAACUUGUUAAACCUUUCCCAGUAUUCAUACAAGGACUCACCGGGAUAUUGCUUAAUGCCGCAUAUCUCCUUCCUCAAACUCGCAGCUCAGGAUGCAGGGAAGAAUUUUUCCAAGAAUUUCUUUUUUAACUGUGCCUAUGUGGUAAUACUACCCGCUGGUAGGUAGUAUAGCCAAUCUUUUGCUGCAUCCUUGAGAGAGAAGGGGAAAGCUCUAAGUCUUAUCUGCUCCUCAGUGACCCUAGGAGGUUUCAUGCUGGAGCAAACUAUCUCGAAUUCCUUGACAUGUUUGUGGGGUUCUUCGCCAGAGAGACCAUGGAAAGAAGGUAGAAGGUGAAUCAACCCCGACUUCAGUUCGAAAGCAGUAUUCUCAGCCAAAGUGGGGAAUGUGAUGCAUAAGGGCUGGUGAGUCAGCUCCGGGGCAGCCAGCUCCCUUAAUGUUUGGGUGUUGGCCAUGCUUAUUUCGUCUUCUACUGACUCGUUUGCAGCAAAUAAGUGCCCUUCUUUUUGCCUCUUGGUCUCUUGCCUCCGCUUACGCGCUGCCUUCUCAACCUCAGCGUCGUAGACUAAUUCACCUGUGGGAGAAGAACGGAGCAUAAACUAGCAAAAAUACCAAGAAGAAUAGAAUAAAGUAAAAAUAAAAUAAAGACUGAAUUUGAAAAGAAACAAAUAAUCCAAACGCCAGCUCCCCGGCAACGGCGCCAAAAAUUGACAGGUGCCGAACCUGUGCAAUAAUAAUUACUAAAAAGUCCUAAUUACCACAUCAAUUAAAUAAUUAUAAAACAAAUCCAAGUACUGGAGCAGGGACCCUAGGUGUGCAAUGGGUUACUUGAUUCACCCUGUUCCCGAAGAGUUUGCUUGAUCCGAUAUACCGGGUUUGUCUAUAAAAAUACUAAUUUUGCGUACAAUGGCAAGUAGGGUCGAUUCCACAGGGAGCAGGUCGGAAAUUAUUUCUUUCCAAAUCAGCAGAACAAAAUUGGGGGAUUUUCAAUGGGAGAGAAAUAAAAUAAAAGUAAAAUAAAAACAAAGCGAACUAAAUUCAAAACCAACUCACAAAGCACAAGUCACUAAAAAAAAUAGCAAUUAAUAAAAGUCUACCCAAAGGAUUAACUGCUCAGGCACGGUCCAAAUAAAUGAUCAUAGAUGCAAAGAUAUUUCACCCAUUCAUCACUAGGUUGGUUAUAGUUAUCAAUAAGCUCUGACAACCAGUUCUUCCUUACCUUUUCGACAGUCAAGGUACGACCGUUGACUGCUUCCCUAACCAGAUAACAACCCUAGGUACGACCGUAGGAAUUUAAUUACCCAAUUGCAUUAAAGCUAGAAAAAUCCAACCCUAACCAAUAAACACGCUAAGAGGGUUUAUUUAAAUUAGAUCCUGCAUUUCCCCAUCAUAAAGCCAAUUAUGGUGGUUGCCACGGGGUGUUAACUAAAUGAACAAUUACGGAUUCUAUUUAAUUAACGUGGCAGUAGGCUAUUAAAUUAAAUCAAAUACCCGGCCGUUGAUAUUCAAUUAAUCAAAUACCCAUGAACAAUUAAUUCAGAAAAUGCACGAAUAGCAACAAAUUGGGGGAAAUAAUGAAGAUUCGAUUAGAUCUCACAGAUAUUAUGAACCGCGCCCUUGCGUCACCCUUUGGGUAGAGGAGGAAAUUAGCCGCUCCUCAUAGUGUCAAUCCCGCGUGGUUUAAUUGAAUACAUUCAAUUGAUUGCCUAAGAAUUGGAAAAGCCCAAAAGGAAUCUCACGGAAUUUAGAAGAGUCAAAAGCAAAAAGUGAAAAAGGGUCUCCGUUGUACAGAGCCCAGAUGCAAUCCGCAGAAAUAUUCAACGUCUGGCCGCUAGCCGCCGCAGAAACAAAAGUCACGGAAAAGCAAGGACAAAGCCGCUGACAAAAAGUAGGAAAGAAAAAUUAAAGCUACGGCUCAACAGUUCCUUCCUUUCCCAUCUUGCUUUGUCCUUUUUAUAUAGCCGCCGCAAUUCAAGUCAAAAAGCAGAGACGUCUGGAGCAAUUUCAGCUAAUAGAAGCUAUUUCCUUUGGAGUUUUAAUCCAAUGCUUCGGGUUCACGUGGACCACGGUCCGGCUUUCGAUUUCGUCCUCCUUCUAAGGCGUGGCCACGCUCUGAAAUGAAAAGUCUUCUGGAAAUUUUUCCCCGCGAUAUCUUUUUAAUGCUAACCACCUACAAUUCACGCAAAUGUCAAAUAUGAGCGAAAUCCCCUUUCUUAGCACCAUGAAUAGCCAAAAUUAGGACAAGAUGACAGUGCAAAACUUGCCAAAUAACGGCUCUAUCAGUCACUGAGCAGUAGAUUCUGAUUGUAUGCAGCCUAUCUAUUGAUUCGACAGUAAGGCCCCAAAUAGGUCUCUGCCAAUUUUGAUGCUCUUUAUAGUCCCACUGUAAAAUUAGAUUUUUCCCCUCUUUCAAUGGUUUUUCUUCUCUCAUAAUCAGAUGUAAUGUAAUAUACUUCGGAAAAAAAAACUGGUCUGGAAGUUGCAAUUUCACAAAGUAGUUCUGAGCUAUGGUCGUUGUGCAGUUCUGGUUGAGUAUGUUGAUUAAUGUCUAAAGAUUUGUUCUGGUUUUAGCUUACUGAACUCAUCUGAUGCAUGAAACCAAUGAUGGAUUAGUAUACUUUUAGAGAUUAUUCCUACUUUUCCACUUUGAAUAUGUGAAUAAUAGAUUUCAGGGUCGUAUUAUUCUUUAGAAGCUAUGAGCAAAUUUUCUCAAAAUAUCUUGGAUUGGAUAUGAAAUUAGACCUACUGAUCAGUGAGAAAAAAGUAUUAUAUACCUUUUCUGACUUGUGAAAUCUUUGUGCUGUGUCCUUGUUCUGGUCAAAGGUUUCAAGUGCUGGCACACUGAAGCUAUGUCUACUACUGAUGGUGAGAGUAAUCCAAGUCGCAAUGAGCUGGAACAAGAAGGAUCAUCUGGAACUCUUCCUCCUAGUCCUACUACACAAAGCUGCGAAGAAUCUAGUUUUGCCAAGAAAAGAGGAGAGUACAAGAAGAGGUCCAAAGCUUGGGAUCAUUUUCAUGUAAAGCAUGUGAAUGGAGUUCGUCAUGCAAUUUGCAAGUACUGUGACAAGGACAUAGCUGCGGAUCCCAAAAGUCAUGGUACGACUCCCCUUAAUACUCAUGUAGCUAAAUGUCCUCUAAAUCCUAAAAAUAAGCACACUGGCCAGGCUACUUUGUGUUUGGGUGAAACUGAAACCUUAGCGGGAGAGGUUAAAGGGGCACUCAUAAGUUGGAAAUUUGAUGCGGAAGCCAUUAGAAAAAGCUUAGCUUAUAUGGUAAUUGUUGAUGAGUUGCCAUUUAAACAUGUAGAGGGUAGAGGCUUUCAAUAUAUGAUGCGGACUGCUUGUCCAUCAUUUAGAAUUCCUUCGAGAUGGACUAUUUCUAGAGAUUGCUAUCAGCUGUAUUUAGAUGAAAAAACUAAGUUGAAACAACUCUUGAAGAAUAACAGUGGCAGAAUUUGUCUAACCACAGAUUCUUGGACAUCCAUUCAAAGGAUAAACUAUAUGUGCCUCACUGCCCAUUUCAUAGAUAAUGAUUGGAAACUGAACAAAAAGAUCCUAAAUUUCUGUCCUAUUGCUAGUCACAAGGGAACUGAAGUUGGUAAGGUCAUAGAAAAGUGUCUACUAGAAUGGGGAGUUGAUGAUAUCCUAACUGUCACAGUUGACAAUGCAAGUUCCAAUGAUGUAGCUGUCCAGUAUUUACGAGGAAAGCUUCAAAAUUGGGGAAAAGCUGUGUUAGGGGGGAAAUGGACUCAUGUGAGGUGUGUAGCUCACAUAGUGAAUCUAAUUGUUAAUGAUGGCAUCAAAAAACUUGGGGAUUCAGUUGAUUGUAUCAGGGCAGCAGUUAGAUAUGUUAGACAGUCACCUUCUAGAUUGAAAAAAUUCAAGGAGUGUGUUGAAAUUGAAAAAAUUGAAUGCAAAAGAUUGCUCUGUUUAGAUGUAUCUACUAGGUGGAAUUCUACAUAUCUAAUGCUAGACACAGCUCAAAGGUUUGAGCGAGCUUUUUGAGAGGUUUGAGGAGCAGGAUCCUUAUAUGCUUCAAGAGUGAGAAAAUCUGCCAACAAAAUCUGAUUGGACAAAAGCUAGAUUCUUGGUAAUUUUUUUGGAAAACUUUUAUCAGCUAACUGUGAAGGUUUCCGGUUCCAAAUAUGUGACUUCAAAUAAUUUUUUCACUGAUAUUAGUCACAUUCAUGGCAUUUUAGUUGAAAUGACAGCAAGUGAUAAUGAUGAAUUGAGUUCAAUGGCAAGAUCAAUGAAGGAGAAAUAUGAUAAGUAUUGGGGAAAGAUUGAAAAGAUGAUUAUGCUGAUUUUUAUUUCCUCCAUUAUUGAUCCUCGAACUAAACUUGAAUACCUUGAAUUUGUGGUUUGUCAAAUGUAUGGUAAGUCCGAUAGUACAACAAUAGCUGGCCUUGCAAAAGAUGCAAUGUUUGAGCUGUUUAAUGAAUAUAAGAUGCUCAACACACCUGCCUCUCAUGCUUCUUCACUUUCAAGUGAUUCUCCAACGAGUAAAAUUACAUUUCAUGGACAUGGGGAUGCCUCUAAAACAAUCACUGAUAGGUACAAGUUGGAGUUUAAGAAGAGAAAAAUGGAACUUGGGGGUAGGGAUGCAAAAUCUGAAUUAGAGAAGUAUUUGAAUGAGGAUUGUGAGGAAGAUGAUGAGAGAUUUGAUAUCUUGUUAUGGUGGAAGGCCAAUAGCCUUAGAUUCCCAAUCCUUUCCAAAGUUGCUCGUGAUGUGUUAGCAGUCCCAAUUUCUACCGUGGCCUCCGAAUCUGCUUUUAGUACCGGAGGUCGUGUUCGUGAUACAUUUAGGAGUUCUUUGACUCCUAGAAUUGUGCAAGGUUUAAUACAAGCCGGUCUCCACAGGAUGCUACACAAAGGGAUUUCCUAUCUUUAUGCUGAAAAGGGUGGACUUGUACUAGGAGUCUUACGGGUAAAGAGGAAACUAAAAACAAGGACUUUGGAAAGCUCCAAUUCUUUGGCCCUUGGACUCUCAUUUGAGUGGGGACCACUAGAGAUAGCAUUAGACUUUCUUUUGGCUUUAAAAAGGAACGUACAGAGAGUUUUUUUUAUCGAUAGUUUUAGCUUAGCUUUUGGCAUAGUUUAGUUUUUAUUCUUUCUUGGUUCUUUUGAUGGCCUGGACCUCAGUUAAAUUACGUGGAGAUUUUUCCAUGAGGCGUGGCUAAAUUCUUCUAGUCGAGGGGACAACUGAUGAAUUGGUUCGGCAAUUACUGUGAGAUCUAAACCACUUUUAAUUAUUUUUCUCAUUUAUUGGUAUUUAUAUGUUUCCUGCUUUUAAUUGUUGUAACCCUUAUGUAUGAUUGAUUAGUGCGCAAUAAUUAAUUAUUCAUAUAGGUUAUUUUGUUAAAUAGGGAUAAUUAAAUCCGUAAUUGUUCGUUAUCUCUAUCUCAGUAGCAACUGGCGUAAUUGGGUUUAUGUCAGGGGAACAUACGAUCUAACUUAAACAAACUCUCGUAGCGUGUUUGUUAGUUAGGAUUGGGCCUUUCUAAUUAUUAAUGCAAUCUAGAAAUUAAAUCUUACGGUCGUACCUAGGAUUGUUUUUGGGUUAGAGAAAUAGUUAACGGUCGUACCUUAACUAUCGAAAAACUAAGGAAAUGUUGGUUGUUUAUCGCGUGCAUGACAACUAUAACUAAUCUAUUAAUAAAUGUUGGAAUUAUAUUUGAAUCGAUUAUCAGUUGCAUGAACCAUUUCUGAAGUGUACCCUUGGCUAGAGUUUCUCCAAUUAUUUUUUUAAUUAAUUAUUUUCUGCAGUUAAUUUAUUUAGUUAGCAUUCAAUCCAAAACCCCCCAUACUUUGGACUCUAAAAGAAACGAAUUAUCCCCAGUCCCUGUGGAUUCGACCCUACUCACCGCUAUAUAUAAAAUCUGUAUUUUUCUCGAGUAGGUAUUUAUUAUUGUACAGGUUCGGCACCUGUCAUGUGCUCAAGAUUGGCUUCGGUCCUCCAAGACAGAAUUAAAUGUAGAAGAAAAUCUGGAAGAGCUUGAAGCCUUCGAAUCUGGUAAGUUAUCAAAAUUUUUAUUGCAGAAUUUGAAGUAUUUCUUUCUUUCUAAUAAUUGCCUUUAUGAUACUUCAUGAAUUUUAUUUGUUCUUGCAGAGUUGCUGAAGACCGGAGCUGAACCAACUAUAAUUGACCUUUGAGAGGUCACAAAUGCUGAAGUUUGCAUUUUGAGGGUUGAACCAACUCUUGUUGCAAGUUGCAGUUUCAGCGUAAUUGGCUUUCUGUAUUGCAACUCUUCUUGUGGCUUUCUGGAUUCUGGAUUAUGGAUUGCAGUUUCUGGAUUAUUGACCUUUGCGGCUUUGUGGCUUUCUAGAUUGUGGAAUGUGGAUUGUGAUUUUUGGACAAGUUAAUUUAGACUUUUAUUUUUGUUUCAUUAUGAUUUCUGGAUUGAUUUAUGAUUGUGGAUCAGUGGAAUUUCUGAUUAGUAGCACCAGGGCAACAGUGUAAUUUCUGAUUUGUGAUUUGUGAUUUCUGGAUUUGUUUGUCAUUUGUGAUUUGUUUGUGGAUCAGUGUAAUUUGUUUGUGGAUUUGUUUAUGAUUUCUGGAUUUCAAUGAUCAAUGUCAAUUGUGUGUUGUUUCGAUUCCGAAUUUCUGGAGUGAUUUGUGAUCAGUUACAUUCGAACAAUUUGUAAGUUGUGGCUCACUUCAAUAGCAUUCCUAUUUGCUGAUGAAAAAUGGGCCGAAGAAGCAGUUUUCUGGAAUUCGGUAAUUCGGUAAAUUUUUUGUUUACCGAAUUGAAUUCGGGUUGAAUUCGAAUUCGGUAGUCUCUAAUUCAAAUGCGAAUUAGGUCGAAUAUUUCCAGAACCAUUUACUGAAAAUUACCGAUUUCAACCUACCGAAUUACCGAAUUCGAAUUCGAUGCUCACCCCUAUCCGCACAUCUCUCAGGUACUCAGCAAUUUUAUCUUCGAACUGCCACAAGGUCACGUCCCGUUCCCAAGUAGCAUCCAACUCGGUCUUGCCCUUCCACUGGAUCAGGUAAUCUGUCCGUUUGUUCUUUUUGCUCUGCCCCAUCGUUCUGUGGUCCAGCACAGCUUCCACCUCCUUCUGGAAUUGCUUGCGGAUCACCGACGGAGCACGUUUCGCUUGCCUCCGUCCUUCAUCCAUCUCGUCCUGGUUGAAGGGUUUCAAGAAGCUCACAUGGAAGGUCGGGUGGAUCUUUAGUCGGUCAGGCAACUUCAACCGAUAGGCUACAUGACCCACCUUCUUGAUCACCUCAAACGGUCCAUCGUACUUCGGAAUGAGCCCGCGAUGGACGGUUUUGCUGCUCACUUUCUUUCAAAUCUGGGGAGUCAACUUCAACAUCACUUGAUCUCCCACUUGGAAUUCCAAGUCUCGUCUAUGUUGGUCCACAUACUUCUUCAUGCGUUGUUGCGCCACCAGAAAGCUAUCCCUUGCUUCGUCCACCAGUUCCUGCUUGCCACGAGCAAACCGAUGUGUGGCUGGGCAACGACUCCCGCCUUGAAGGGCAACUUCAUGCGGAGUCAGAGGUUGUUGCCCGUUCACCAACUCGAACGGACUCAGUUUGGUUGCGGAUGACUUGUGCAGAUUGUAGCAAAACUGCGCAGCAUCCAAGUGAUCAAAUUGAUGUCAAGUGCAGCAUAUUAAUCAAUCAAUUCAGUAUCAAGGAAAGUAGAACACCCCAUGGCAUGAACUUACUAUGUACGCUCAUAUCUCAAUUUGCAUUCAUCAUCGUUUAACUAAAAACACAACCAGAACAUAGUUCAAAGCAUAGUCAACCCUCCCUCACACCUAAACCUUACAUUGCCCUCAAUGUAAGCAAAGAAAGAUCAAAACAAAGGUACCGGGGCAACAACACUUCCCUUAAAAACGGAGGAGGGGAGAACUGGAUCACGGUUGUGGAGGAAAAGGCCGGCGGAAGCCCACGUGAUGGAGAUACUGCGCUAAAUUCUGGGCCAUCCCGCCCAUUUGACGCUCCAUCCGAUCCAUACGAGUGUCCAUGUGUUGCAUCUGGAACCGGAGGGCUGCAAGCUGACUAUCGACGGAGGAAGAUGGUGGAGGUACCGAAGAGGAUGGUCCGGGGGCAUCCGUGGAAGGACCACCAGCCUCCGGGGCAGUGGAUUUGGAAGCGCUGCGCUUUGGAGGAACGGAGAUUGGCCCCGAGGGAGCAAACUGAAAAAUGCCCGCCACCUGUCUCACAAGACUCAUUUUUUCCAAACAAACCAAAUCGAGGGGUUCCAUAGUACAAGCACGAUGCAAGUUAUAAUUAUUUAAGUCUAAAACCCCAAGAUUUACAGCCAACUGAGUGAUAAAUGAGCCUAAGAUUAAUGGCAUAUUUUUCUUACUUAACACAGUUCGGAGGUGGAGGGCAAACCAGCUACCCAAAUUGACCCUAGUCCGAGUGACCAUGCACCAGACGAAAAAGAACUCGGGCUUAGUCAGAGUACCCGAGUUAUCCUUCCUACCUGAGAAACUAUAGGCCAUGAAUCUAUGUAAAUAGCGGUAGGCGGCGUUCUUAAGAUAAGAAGUCUUAGACUGACUGGGGUCAUAGAAGUGUCGGUCAACCGACAAAUCUCUCCAAUAAUCAAUGUAAUGAGAGAAAAAUGGCUCCGAGUACUCGCACACACUGUGCAUAUACUCCUCACUCUGGGAGUAAGGAAUAUCAAUAAACCCAAGAGUCAAAUUAAACUCAGUGAUAGAUUGGUUGAACUCUCUACCCAUUAAUCGAAACCUCACUACCCCAGGAGUGGUAACGGAGAAUUCAUCAGGAAUAUUAAAUUCGAAAGUAGCAUAGAAUUCCCACGUGAGUUCAGUAAAAGCAGGUAGAUUGAUAGAAACAUAGCGGGUCCAGCUUACGUUAGUCAAGUGCUGCGUGACCUCAUCCCUCAGGUUUAGCAUAUCAAGUGUAGGGUCAUGGAUGUAUUUACAAGGAAUUAUCUUCCUUGUGCAAGCCGAGGCAUACCGCUCCUUGUCGGCAGCCCGGGUGAAGGUCAAAUUGCCGCCAAAGUGAGCUGGAGAGGAGAUAUGAACCUCCCUAUUCCGCCCAAGACGGGUACGAGGCCCUCCAGGCCCAGUCGAUGGGGCAGGUCCCCCUAAGGGGACAGUAGGCUGAGGGGUGGAGGUGGAUGGCUUGUUCUUGUCUUUAGUUUUUGGUUUGGUCAUUUGGUCUAUUGGAUAGGGCAGAGGCAAGGCAAAUGUGCACAAAAGAGGUCAACAGGCUGCUGAUUCAGUAAAGGGUCCCACUCACAGCUUCCAAUCACAGACAAGUGCACAACCAAACAAUAAAAGUACCCUAAAAGCUAAUUAGCACUGUGAGCAGCAGAAUUCUCCCCAAAUACUACCAAAUUGACCCAAAAAGUAAUUAAUCAAAUAAACAGAGCACAAACCCUCUCAAAAACUAAAUAAACAGGCAACUGGAGCAAAAUUUUUCUCCAAAUAUCACUGGUUGAGCACAAAAUUUAUCAAACAAUUAACAAUGCACCACAGAUAUAUCACAGCACCCAAACAAGCACAAAAUAUCUGUCCUCAGCUAGCAAAUCAAAAUCUAGCCUCAGCUAAUUUUAAAAACUAGUAAUCUGGCCUCAGCUAAUAGCGACAUAAAAAUAAAGAAAGGAAUCACCAGAAGUUUGGAGUAGGCAGUGGGUGCUGGUGAAGAGAGCAGGGGCGACCACCGGAGUGGAGGAAGGCGCGUGCGUCGCACGCGCUUGGGCAGGCGCCCUGGGGGUUGCUCGCCUAGGAUUGACUGCGCGGAGACGGAAGGCGCUCUGCUGCGCGCUUGGGUUGCGCCUGGAGAGGACCUGGAGUCACGCGCAGAAGGCUGGUGAUGGCUGCUGGUGCGCCGAGGGCAGCGUGAGAGCUGGCUUGGAGGUCGCGCAGAAAGCAAAGGGGCGAGCUGCGUGCGUGCGGUCUGCGCGCGCGGACUGCGGUCCGCGACUGCAGCUGCUACUCCUGCUCAGGUCGCGCGAUCUGUAGUGAGCUAGUGCGCGGCUGGUCAGUCGAGCGGCGGUGUGCGGCGACAGCCAGCAGCGGCGGCGCUCAACGAGGUUGUCCGCUGGCGGAGGAGGCACGGCGCGAGGUGGGCUUGGCGUGGUGGGCGGCGGCAGACAAGGAGAAAAGAAGGAAAAAGAAGGAGAAAAAGAAAGAAAAGGAAGAAGAAAGAAGAAAGAAAGAAAAGGAAAAGAAAGAAGAAGAAGAAAAGAGUAGGGUUCCGUGUCUUUUUCAUUUCAAAAUUUUUUUUUUGAAAGAAACCCAGUCUUAGGCGUGGGCACGCUCAACUGCUAUAGAGUCCGCAGAUCCGAAAAUUUCUUCCCUCAGGCGUAGCCACCUGGCGUGGGCACGCUCAACUGCUAUAGAGUCCGCAGAUCCUGAACGAAAAUUUCUUCCCUCAGGCGUGACCACCUGGCGUGGGCACGUCUAACUGCUAUAGAGUCCGCUGAUCCUGAACAAAAAUUUCUUUUCCUCAGGCGUGACCACCUGGCGUGGGCACGUCUAACUACUAAUUUCCUGCCACCAAACAUCAAACUCUUAAUUGACACUAACACUUAACUAAAACUUAAAAAAUGCAUGAAAACUGAAACAAAUAGUCUUGGGUUGCCUCCCAAGUAUCGCUUUUCUUUAAUGUCUUUGGCUAGACAUGGCCAAAACCCUCAAGCAAGAUAAAGUGGAUCUUGGAGGUGUACAACUUCUACUUCUUCAAUAGAGAACCCCUCAUAAUAAGGUUUGAGACGAUGGCCAUUCACCAUGAACUUUUUCUCCGUUUUUAAACUUUGGAUCUCCACUGCACCAUAAUAAAACACAUUAGAAACGACAAAUGGACCAAUCCAACGAGAACGCAACUUACCGGAAAAAAGUUUAAGCCUUGAGUGAUACAAGAGGACUUUUGUCCCCACUACAAAAGAUUUUCUGGAAACCUGUUGAUCAUGAAAGAUUUUACCCUUUUCCUUAUAAAUCGUGGCAUUCUCAUACGCUUCAUUUCUUAUCUCCUCUAACUCUUGUAGCUGCAAUUUCCUUUGGGCCCCUGCUUCGUCUAAUCCCAUGUUACACUGCUUCACUGCCCAAAACGCCUUGUGUUCGAACUCCACGGGAAGAUGGCAAGCCUUACCGAAGACAAGUUUAUACGGAGACAUCCCAAUCGGCGUCUUAUACGCGGUUCUGUACGCCCAUAGUGCGUCUUCUAGUUUUAAACUCCAAUCCUUCCUAUCCGGACGCACCAUCUUCUCCAAGAUCGACUUGAUUUCCCUAUUUGACACUUCGACUUGACCGUUUGCCUGCGGGUGAUACGGUGUGGAUACCUUGUGGAGCACGCCAUAUUUUCGGAACAGGGCAGUGAUAGUCUUAUUACAAAAAUGUGUCCCCCUAUCACUUACCACAGUUCUUGGCAUUCCAAAGCGGACAAAAAUAUUAGAUUUUAAAAACUCUGCAACCACUCUAGAAUCAUUAGUACGGGUGGCUUUGGCUUCCACCCAUUUAGAGACAUAAUCUACAGCAAGUAAAAUGUAUAGGAAACCAAAAGAUGAGGGAAAAGGACCCAUAAAUCUAUCCCCCAAACAUAAAAAAUUUCAACAAACAACAUGGGGGUUUGAAGCAUUUGUUCCCUACGAAAAAUAUUCCCCACCCUUUGACACCUAUCACAGGAUUUACAGAAUAAAUAAACAUCUUUGAAAAGGGUGGGCCAGUAAAAACCACUCUCCAACACCUUGCGAGCUGUUCAUUUGGGCCCAAAAUGCCCUCCACAUACAAACGAAUGACAGAAAUUUAAAAUGGAGUGAAAUUCACCUGCACUUACACACCUCCUGAGCACUUGAUCCGAACAUUGUCUCCAAAGGUACGGGUCGUCCCAAAUGUAAUACUUAGCAUCACUCUUUAACUUGUCUCUCUUAGCUUUUGGCCACCCUGCAGGCAGUUGAUUAGUCACUAAGAAAUUUACUAAAUCGGCAUACCAGGGUACAGACGAGUUAAUAGCAAGUAGUUGUUCCUCUGGAAAUGCCUUCCUCAAUGGUGGCUCCUCCUUAUGAGCAAGCAGACGGCUCAAGUGAUCAGCGACUAAGUUUUCCGCCCCACUUUUAUCCUUAAUCUCCAAGUUGAACUCUUGAAGAAGCAGGAUCCAUCUGAUGAGCCUUGGUUUAGCAUCUUUUUUUGUCAUCAAAUAUCUCAAGGCUGCAUGAUCAGAAAAAACUAUUACUUUUGCACCUAACAAGUAAGGUCUAAAUUUUUCUAGUGCAAAAACCACAGCUAGCAAUUUUUUCCCUGUUAUAGAGUAGUUGAGUUGAGCUCCAUUCAACGCUUUGGAUGCAUAGUAGAUUGCAUGAGCAGCUCUGCCAAUCCGUUACCCCAGCACCGCUCCCACUGCAUAGUCACUCGCGUCACACAUUAUCUCAAAUGGGAGGCUCCAGUCUGGGGGCUGGAUAACAGGUAGUGAUGUCAAUGACUCCCUCAACCUGUCAAAUGCCACCUUGCAUUCUUCGGUGAAGUCAAAUGCCACAUCCUUCUGCAACAGUUUGAACAGAGGCGCUCCAAUUUUUUAGAAAUCUUUUAUGAAUCUCCUGUAGAAUCCUGCAUGACCCAAAAAGGAGCGCACCUCCCGCACACUUGCGGGGUAAGGUAAAGCAGAAAUAAUAUCGACUUUUGCCUUGUCUACCUCUAUGCCCCUGACCGACACUACAUGCCGUAAAACAAUGCCAUGAUCCACCAUGAAAUGACAUUUUUUUCAAUUUAGAACUAAAUUUGUCUCAAUGCAUCUCUUCAAAAUUAAAGCUAUAUUAUCCAGGCAUUCAUCAAAACUAUCCCCAUACACACUAAAAUUAUCCAUAAAUACCUCAAUAAUCUUUUCUACAUAAUCAGAAAAUAUACUUACCAUACACCUCUGAAAAGUAGUUGGAGCAUUGCAGAGGGCGAAAGGCAUCCUCCGGUAUGCAAAAGUACCAAAUGGGCAAGUGAAUGUAGUUUUCUCCUAAUCCUCUGGUGCUAUCACGAUCUGGAAAUAACCUGAGAAACCAUCAAGAAAACAGUAGUAGACACGACCAGCUAACCUCUCUAUCAUCUGAUCAAUAAAAGGUAGAGAGAAGUGGUCCUUCUUCGUCACAGCAUUCGGACGCCGGUAGUCAAUGCACUGGCGCCAUCCUGUGGGUUUCCUCACCGGGACCAUCUCACCCUCUUGGUUCUCUUCAACGGUUACCCCCGCCUUUUUCGGGACUACUUGCACUGGGCUCACCCAUGGAUUGUCUGAGAUGGCGAAGAUGAUCCCCACUUCCAGGAGUUUAAGUAUUUCCUUCUUUACUACUUCCAUCAUCAGUGGGUUCAAUCUCCGUUGCGCCUGCCUGACUGGUUUUGCCUUCUCCUCAAGACGGAUCCGAUGCAUGCAUAAAGAGGGGCUAAUCCCCUUGAUAUCUGCUACGCUCCACCCAAUUGCCUCCUUAUGAUCCCGAAGAAGACGAAUUAGGUUGUCUUCUUGCCUUGGUGACAGGUGUGCAAAUAUGAUGACUGGUAGUGUCUCAUUAUCCCCGAGAAAAGCAUACUUCAAAUGCUUUGGGAGAGGCUUGAGCUCCAACUCAGGUGCCUGCACAAUAGAAGGCAACAAUUUUGCCUGAAUUUCUGGUACAAAGAGAGAAGUAAACUCAUACCUUGGGGAGAGUGGUGGGAGCGAAUGCAGUGCUUCCACUGCAUGGUAUAGCUCAUCACUUAUUUCUACAUCAAGAGUUGCUCCCAACUCGAGAUGUUUGGCCAACGCCAUUUCCAGUGUAUCGCCCCUAUUCAAUUCAAAUGUGUCCUGUACAAGAGAUUCAAUGAUGCUCAAAGCAAAAACAGAGUUAAUCUCAUCCGGGUAUUUCAUCGCAUCAAAGAUAUUGAAAUUUACAAUUUCACCAUCAAACUCCAUCGACAAAGUACCCUCAUUCACAUCUAUUUUCGUCCUAGCAGUGCUUAAAAAUGGUCUACCUAGCAAAAUAGGUGACGGAUUUAAUGCCUUUUCAUCUCCCAUAUCUAAGACAUAGAAGUCUGCAGGAAAAACUAACUCAUUGACCUGUACCAAUACAUUCUCAACUAACCCCUCUGGAUAAGCAUUGGUACGGUCUGCCAGUUGGAUUAUAAUGCCUGUGUCUUUUAAUGGGCCAAAAUUAAGAGAAGCAUAGAUUGUCUUAGGCAUAACAUUAAUUGACGCCCCCAAAUCCAACAUUGCUUUCCUAAUUGGGGUACCUCCUAUCUUGCAGGGGAUGGUGAACAUACCUGAGUCUCUACAUUUUGGUGGGAGUUUCCUUUGAAGUAUAGUUGACACGUUCUCUCCCACCGCCACUCGUUCAUCUCCCCUUAACUUCCUCUUGUGGGUGCACAAGUCCUUCAAAAAUUUAGUAUAUUUCGGUAUCUGCUUGAUUGCAUCCAACAGGGGAAUGUUGAUCUCCACUUUCCGAAACACAUCCAAGAGCUCUUUUUCCUUCUCUACCUUUUUUGUCUUUUCCAUCCUGCAAGGAAAAGGGGGUAAGUUAGAGUUAAUAGUGAGUGGAGAGGUGGAGGUUCCCUUAGAAUCCUCUCGAACACGUCCUUCCUCCUCAAUUUUCUUUUCUAUCUCCUCAUCACUUUUGCUUUUUGAAUUUUUCACUGUAGGCCCUUCCAGUUCCUUGCCACUCCUCAGCGUCAUGGCACUUACAUUUUUGGGAUUUACCUCGGGUUGCGAUGGCAGUUUCCCAUAAACGUGGGACUCCAAGCGGUUAAUGGCAGUUGCCAGUUGGCUUAUUCGAGCUUCUUGGUCCUUCUUGUCUGCUUUGGUGUCCUGCUGGAGCUGCGCGGUAUUUGCUGCCAAGGAUCUGAUCUCCUGAUGAAACUGAGUAGUAGUCGUGGCCAGGCUUUUGACUAGGUCCUCCAAGGAGCUUCCUGAAUUGGAGGAUGAGGGUUGCGGUUUCGAUUGCCAAGGCUGGUGGAAUCCUGGUGGACGAUUCGGGAAUGAACUUUGUUGCCUGUUCCCAUAACUGAGAUUGGGAUGGUCUCUCCAACCGGGGUUGUAUGUGUUGGAAUACGGGUCAUACUGCCUACGGGACGCGGGCACGCCUCCGGCCAUAUUUACCUGUUCCGCCCCGUCCUCUUGCAGAAUGGGACACGUAUCCAUGCAGUGGUCCAUGCUAGUACAGAUUCCACACGCCUUUGCUCGCGGUGUGUCUCUCAUGGCCAAUUGCCUAACAGCAGACGUCAACUCUGACAGUUGCUGCUGGAUGGAUGACGCCUCUGCCUCAUUGACUCUACGGGUAGGAUUGCUCUCACGGAAGCCGAACUGCUGAAAGUUCUCCGCCAUGGCUUCAAUAAGCUCCCACGCUUCCCUUGGUGUUUUGUUCGCCAAGACUCCUCCACUCGCAGCGUCAAUAAUACUCCUGUCAGUUGACUGGAGCUCCUCAUAGAAGUACUGGAUCAACAGUUGUUCACUAAUCUGAUGCUGUGGGCAUCUAGUGCACAACUUGUUGAACCUUUCCCAAUAAUCGUACAAUGACUCUCCGGAAUACUGCUUGAUGCUGCAUAUUUCCUUUCUUAAACUAGCAGCUCGGGAUGCGGGGAAGAAUUUUUCCAGGAAUUUCUUUUUCAAUUGUACCCACGUGGUGAUACUACCUGCAGGUAGGUAGUAUAGCCAAUCUUUCGCUGCAUCCUUGAGAGAGAAUGGGAAAGCUCUAAGUCUUAUUUGCUCCUCAGUGACCCCAGGAGGUUUCAUGCUAGAGCAAACUAUUUCGAACUCCUUGACAUGUUUGUGGGGUUCUUCACCAGAAAGACCAUGGAACGAAGGUAGGAGGUGAAUCAAUCCCGAUUUCAGCUCGAAGGAGGUAUUUUCAGCCAGAGUUGGGAACGUGAUGCAUAAGGGCUGAUGAGUCAGCUCCGGGGUAGCCAACUCCCUCAAUGUCUGGGUGUUGGCCAUGUUAAAUUCGUCUUCUACUGACUCGUUUGCAGAAAAUAAGUGCCCUUCUUUUCGUCUCUUGGUCUCUUGCCUUCGCCUACGCGCUGCCUUCUCAACCUCAGGAUCGUAUACCAAGUCACCUGUGCGAGAAGAACGGGGCAUAAACUAGCAAAAAUACCAAGAAGAAGAAAAAUAAAAUAAAACAAAAUAAAAACUGAAUUAAAAAAGAAGCAAAUAAUUCAAAUGCCAGUCCCCAACAAUGGCGCCAAAAAUUGACAGGUGGCGAACCUGUGCAAUAAUAAUAAAUAAAUCCUAACUACCACCUAAAACAGUCAGUAAUCAAUUCGAGUACUGGAGCAGGGACUCUAGGUGUGCAAUGGGUUACUUGAUUCACCCUGUUCCCGAAGAGUUUGCUUAAUCCGAUAUACCUGAAUUAAUUAUUUAACUGAAUUCUCUAACUAUUAGACAGUGGUAAGCAGGGUCGUCUCCUCAGGGACUAGCAAGAUAUUUUGUUUCUUUUCAAGUCAAGAUUAAUGGGGGGGUUUUGGUAUCAAAUGCCAACUAAACAAAUUAAAUGCAGAAAAUAAUGAAUUAAAAGAAAUAACUAAGAGAAACUCUAGCCAAAGGAGUACUUCAGAAAUGGUCCAUACACUGAUCAUUGAUGCAAAAAUAAUCCCAACAUUUAUUGAUAGAUUGGUUAUAGUUGUCAUGCACGCGAUAAACAACCAACUCUUCCUUAAUUUAUCGACAGCUAAGGUACGACCGUUAGUUAUUUCUCUAACCCGAAAACAACCCUAGGUACGACCGUAGGAUUUAAUUUUUAGAUUGCAUUAUUAAUUAGAAAGGCCCAAUCCUAACUAACAAACACGCUACAAGGGUUUAUUUAAGCCAGAUCAAAUAUUUCCCUGACACAAAUCCAAUUAUACCAGUUGCUACUGGGAUAGAGAUAACGAACAAUUACGGAUUCAAUUACCCCUAUAUAGCAAAAUAGCCUAUGUGAAUAAUUAAUUAUUGCGCACUAACCAAUCAUACACAAGGCUAUAGCGAUUAAAAGCAAGGAACAUGUAAAUAUCAAUAAAUGAAGAGAACAAUUAACGAUGGUUUAGAUCUCACAGUAUUAGUUGAACCAAUUCAUCAGUUGCCCCCUUGUCUAGAAUUAGCGAAUUAGCCCGCCAUUAAUGAAGGACAAACCGCGCGUGUGGAAGGGGGAAAGGUUCGCAAGUCGGUUCUCCCACUCCGGUCAACCCCAGGAGGAAGAAACACAAGAUUUUAUCGCCUCCAAUUGUCUCCAAAAAGAACAACGCAAACGAGGGUCUGAGGCCCUAUUUCAAUGUCGGUCAAAACCAAUUGGAAAGCAAAGCUAAUAGUUAACAAUUGCGGCCCUUAUUUUCUUUUCCCAAUUGCUGAGCAAGAUACACGAGAGAAAAGGUUCCUCAAUUGCUUGAUUUCUCAAUUUGUCAAUUCAAAACAUGAAGAGUUGGUUUCUCCCCAGUCAACAAUAAUGGCUUCCCCCCUUUUAAAGUGUAUCCUCCUCGAAAACCUAAAAACCCAGCGAAGAAAAACUAACUACCGCCUCCUGUUGUCAACCGAAGUUCCAGGAAGGGAUUGUUUCCUAUCGCCAAUUGUUGUGUUUUUCCUUUUUCCCCCCAAAAUAGAAAUAACAAGACUCCCUCAAAUAAAAAUAAAAAUAAAGUAAAAUCUAUUACAAUUAAAUGUCUUCAGCUCCUCAAGCGGGCCCCAUGUACGAUGGAUCUUCUAAAACUCGAAUUUAAGCACUUUUCGUCAUCCACUCCUGCAAUUAGCACCAAAAUAAAAUAUCAGUAGAAUUCACCCAAUUAACGAAAAUAUUUAGUCAAUUAAUUGUGCAAUACUGCCCAAAAUACCCACUAAAAUGCACCCUAUCAUGAAUACUAUCAUUUGAGUCUGUAAUGGCAUCUGACAAUUUCACGUCAAGAAUUACAUCUGGGGCAUCGGCUUCCUCGUCCACAUGGUCGAGGACUCCAAUGUCAAGUUCGAAACUGGCGAUGGAGAUAUUUGACGGUACUAGCCAUUUCGGCAUGUGGCAAGACGAGGUCAUAGACUCCCUUUUUCAACAAGGUCUUGACAUUGCCAUUGAAGAAAAGAAACCAGAUGACAUAGAAGAGAAGGAGUGGAGUACCAUAAAUCAGUUGCCAUGCGAAACAAUUCGAUCGUGUUUGUCCAGAGAGCAAAAAUAUGCUUUCAAGAACGAGACUUCUACAUGGAAAUUGUAGAGGGCAUUGGAAGAGAAAUUUAUGAAGAAGAGUGGUCAGAAUAAACUCCUAAUGAAGAAAAUAUUGUUCCGAUUCGAUUACCAACCAGAUGAAGCGUUAGUGGCAAGAGGUCGUCAACAAAGUCAAUCAAAGGGGAGAAUAGGAAGGUCCAAAUCGAAAAGUAGAGUUGUCAAAGGUGAUUGUGCUUUCUGUCAUGAGAAAGGGCACUGAAAGAAAAACUGUCCAAAAUUGAAGAAAAAAGGGAAAACUCCGCAAGAUGUAAAUGUUACAGAAUGCAAAAGUGAUGCUGAAUCAGAUUUCUCUUUGACUGUAUCACCUUUAACAUCCCAUCCAGAUGAGUGGAUUUUGGAUUCAACUUGUACCUAUCAUAUGUCUCCCAUGCGGGAGUGGUUCUUUGAAUUUGAAGAAUUUGAUGGUAGAGUUGUGUACAUGGGAAAUGACAAUCUAUGUAAAAUAGGUGGGAUAGGUUCAAUCAAGUUGCGUAAUCAUGAUGGAUCCACUAGAAUCUUGAAGGAUGUUCGGUACGUGCCGAAUUUGAAGAGGAAUUUCAUCUCCUUGGGACUUUUAGAGUCAAAAGGCCUGGAAGUGAAGAUGCAAUAUGGAAUUCUUAAAAUAACUUCGGGAGUACUUGUGAUGUUGAAAGGUGUGAGGAAGAAUAAUCUGUAUUACUACUAAGGUAGUACAGUUGUUGGGACAGCAGCAGCAGCAACAUCUUCCAGUAGCAAGAAGGAUGCGGAGGCAACAAAGUUGUGGCACACGCGAUUGGGACAUCUGGUGAAAAAUCCUUGCAAAAUCUUGCCAAACAAGGUUGUUGAAAGGUAAAAAAGUUUGCAAAUUAGAAUUUUGUGAGCAUUGUAUUCUGAGAAAACAAAGCAGAGUAAAAUUUGGUACUGACAUCCAUAAUACCAAGAGUAUUUUAGAUUAUGUGAACUCAGAUAUGUGGGAAUCUGCUAAAACUCCAUCCCUUGAUGGCAGGUACUAUUUUGUCACUUUUGUUGAUGAUUUUUCCAGAAGAGUUUGGGAGUUUACUAUGAAAAACAAGGAUGAAGUGUUAGGUAUUUUCCUUAAAUGGAAAGUUCAGGUUGAAAACCAGACGGGAAGAAAGAUCAAGAUCCUCCGAACAGACAACGGUGGAGAAUACAAGAAUGAUCCCUUCCAGAAAAUAUGUCAAAAGUGUGGUAUAGUUUGGCACUUCAUAGUUAGAAGAACACCCCAGUAGAAUGGGGUAUCAAAGCGUAUGAACAAAACACUAGUGGAGAAAGUACGUUGCAUGUUGUCUAAUGCUGGGUUAGGCAGAAAGUUUUGGGCUGAGGCUGUGACAUACGCUCAACAUCUCGUCAAUCGCUUGCCAUCAUCUGCAAUAGGUGGCAAGACUCCAUUAGAGAUAUGGUCUGGAAAACCUGCAACAGAUUAUGAUUCUUUGCGUAUUUUUUGUUCUACUACAUAUUAUCAUGUAAAUGAAUCACAAUUGGAUCCACGAGCAAAGAAAUCUCUCUUUAUGGGUUUUAAUGCUGGAGUUAAGGAAUACCGGUUGUGAUGUCUAGAAGCAAAGAAGACCAUUAUCAGCAGGGAUAUUACCUUUGAUGAAUCUGCCAUGUUGAAUAAGGUAUCACAAGAUGGGACCAGUGGUACUCCGCAACACAUGGAGUGUAUGCCGAAACAGGUGGAGUUUGAGUAAAUAAUGGUGAGCCCAGCAAACAGCACCAUCAAUGACUCUUCCAUGGCAGAAGAAGAGUCAGAUGAGGAAGAGAUUUUAACCCAAGAACCUCAAUAGCAGUAAGAGUCAAUUGCCAUUAAUAGGCCAAGACAAGAAAUUCAAAAACCUGCUCGUUUUGUUGACAUGGUGGCCUAUGCACUUCCAGUUGUUGAUGAUGUUCCAUCCACCUUUUCUGAAGCAAUUUGAAGUACAAAAAUGAUAGAUGGAAAAAUGCUAUGGAAGAAGAGAUGCAAUUUUUUCAGAAGAACAAGACGUGGAAGUUAACACAACUACCGAAGGGUAAAAAGGCAAUUGGAUACAAAUGGAUAUUUGCAAAGAAAAAAGGGUUACCUGACAAGAAUGAUGUUCGCUACAAGGCAAGAUUGGUGACUAAAGGCUACGCUCAGAAGGAGGGAGUUGAUUAUAAUGAGGUAUUUUCUCUAGUUGUUAAAAAUUCAUCUAUUAGAAUUUUGUUGGCCUUGGUAGCACAGUUGAAUUUGGAGCUAGCUCAACUUGAUGUGUUAAUCGCGUUCCUUCAUGGUGACUUGAAGGAGGAAAUCUAUAUGUCUCAGCCAGAUGGAUUCAAAGUUACUGGUAAAGAAGAUUGGGUUUGUAAGUUGAGCAAAUCAUUGUACGGAUUAAAACAAUUACUGAGACAAUGGUACAAACGAUUUGACCAGUUCGUGAUAGGCUAGAGGUACACAAGAAGAAAAUACAAUCACUGUGUGUAUUUGCGCAAGUUACGAGAUGAUUCCUACAUCUACUUACUCUUAUACGUUGAUGAUAUGCUGAUAGCGUCAAAGAGCCAAGUUGAAAUUGACAAAUUGAAGGCUCAGUUGAGCAAAGAGUUCGAGAUGAAGGAUUUGGGAAAAACCAAGAAGAUUCUCGGCAUGGAGAUAAGCAGGGAUAGAAUGAGAGGCAAGUUUUGUCUGACACAGAAGCAGUAUUUGAAUAAGGUACUACAACAUUUUGGUGUGAAUGGAGAUUCAAAACCUAUAAAUACUCUGCUUGCUCCUCAUUUGAAACUUAACAGCCUAUUAUCUCCAAAAACGGAUGAAGAGUGAGUAUACAUGGCGAAAGUCCCGUAUACUAAUGCAGUUGGUAGCUUGAUGUAUGCAAUGGUGUGUACAAGACCCGACAUUUCACAGGCGCGCAGUUGGUGUGGUAAGCAGGUUUAUGCAUGAUCCGGGCAAGGGCCAUUGGCAAGCUGUGAAAUGGAUUCUACGAUAUAUCCAAAAUACCAUAGAUGUUGGAUUAGUAUUUGAGCGGGAUGAAUCACUUGGUCAAUGUAUAGUUGGAUAUUGUGAUUCUGACUAUGCAGGUGAUUUGGAUAAGCAACGUUCGACAACUGGCUACUUGUUCACGUUUGCUAAGGCGCCAAUUAGUUAGAAGUCUACUUUGCAGUCAACGGUGGCUUUGUCUACAACGGAGGCAGAGUAUAUGGAGAUUACAGAAGCUGUGAAGGAGGCAAUUUGGCUUCAAGGAUUGCUUGAAGACUUGGGAGUUGGUAAAAAAUACAUUAACGUGUUUUGUGAUAGUCAGAGUGCUAUUCACUUAGCAAAGAACCAGGUCUUGCACGUAAGAACGAAGCACAUUGAUGUUCGCUAUCACUUUGUGCGGGAAAUUCUCGAAGAAGAGGAGAUUUUUCUCCAGAAGAUUCGGACUACAGAGAAUCCUGCAGAUAUGCUGACCAAGGUGGUUAUAAGAGCCAAGUUUAAACAUUGUCUAAACUUGGUUAACAACUUGCACAUUUGAGUUGGCGCCUGAGGGCGCAAAUUUGGAAGCACCAUAAGGACCGUCUGUUAGUUUUUGUGUGAGAAGAUUUGUAUUUUUUGGGUGGGACUAGAAAUUAUGCCAAGGUGGAGAUUUGUUGAAUUCAAAGCCUAAAUUAUUGACUUUUUUCAAGUCACAAUUGUUGAAUUUGUGGCAUCAAUUUCUAUCCCACAUUGGUGGAAUUGAGAGCUUGGGUAAGGGCUUGAGAGUUAUAAAUAACUCUCAAGCAAAUCAAUUCAAUUACACCAACAAAAAUAAUUCUUUUGUAAUUCUUUCUUCUCCUAAAUUAUAAGAGCAGGCUGCUUGAGCGGUGCUCGAAAAUUAGGCAAAAUUGGUCGAACUCCAUUAUCAAUUUUUUGGGUACGUUCUUUCCUUAUCUCUUUUAUUUAUUCCGCACUUAUUUAGUAGUUUCUUUUCAAUUGUAGUAUAGUAUUCAAUAUAUAUUUGUCGGGUUUAUUUAUAAUGUUUUAUACGAUUCAUUUGGGUGUAUUUUCUUAUUCGUGUGUACGUAUUAUUUAUGUAUACACGGGUCUAGUUGUAAUAAUACACCGUGCACGUAAAUUCUGUCUAGGAGACUAGGUUUUAAGUGGGACCGCUUGUGACUUCUCCAGCCUUUCCUGGGAAUUUAUUUGGAAUGGUAAUUCUGUCUAAGGAGAUUGUUUUGACGAUCUUUCCUGGGAAUUACUGAAUCGGUUUAAAUCACUAGUUGAAUUUUUGAGUGAAAAAUUACCCGGUUUCCCCAACAGCCAUGAAAAGAAUUAACUGGUAUUGAAAAGACAUGGAGAGAUGAUAUGUUAUAAACAGAUGCAGGGAUCCUACCAGAUAAUUGGUUUACUCCCAUUCCUAAUGAAUGCAAUUUUUUUACGAAGCCUAUCUCCUUGGGCAGAUUACGCUCUAAAUUGUUAUAUGCAAGAAAGAGAGUUGUCAAUGAUGAAAGAUUUCCGAGGGAGGAAGGAAUCUCUCCUGUCAAAUUGUUCUUAGAAAGAUAAAGGUUUUCAAGCUUCUUCAAUUUGCUUAGCUCAAUUGGAACUUUUCCUUCAAGUUUGUUGUUCGUAAGCGUAAGGCUUAACAUAUUUGAGCAGUUGCAUAGACUAACAGGGAUCUCUCCGCUCAGGAGGUUAUAUGAUAGGUUAAGAAAACUUAGACGGAACAGAUGACCAACCUCUUGUGGAAUUUCACCAUGGAACUGAUUUUCCUCCAGAUGGAUGGAUUUCAUGAAGCUGAGAUUUCCUAUAUGAGGAGAUAUGGUUCCAAACAAACUCCAGCCUGUUAGAGUUAUGGCUGUGACCCUCUGAUGUCGACUAUCACGUGAUCCCCGGCCAUUGGCAAUGGUGUCGUGUUUGGUUCCACGAGUUCAAGACAGCAUGUGGAUCAUCAGAUAUCUGACUCUUGAACUCCAGCAGAGCAAGUCUAUCAGUUUCAUUUUGAGCAUUCCGUCAAGAAUUGUAUUUAAGCAGGACGGAAUUUACAGUUUAAAGAGUAAAGUGUAGUUUAAGGAUGAAAAAGGUAGUCGGAGUAAAGAGUGCAAAAUGGAAUUAACAUAAGUAAAAAUUAAAAUAACGGUGUUAUUUCAAACAAGUUGAAAUGAGAUUGUUUAAUUAACAAAUUAUUAUUGGCAUAUAAACAAGCAGGUUUUUAGAUACUUGCAAAGUUUGAUAAUUAAAUUCAAAGUCAGACGAUGUGGCAUACCUCUAAACUCGUAAAUGUAUAUGUUAACAGUGUAGAAAAGAUUAAAUACUUAAUGAUAUUAUCAAAGCAACAAAGUGUACCUUCAUGUAAGUUGGUAUUUCACUUUGCUUCAUAAACCAAUUUUGUCAAAACAUUCCCUCAAAAGAAAAAAAAAAAGGAAAGUUUUGUCAAAACAUUGCAGUUUGCCCCCUAUACACUUUUUUGCUUUUCCUUUUUCCCUGCUAAUGGAGUCUCUUAUUACUACGAUGGUAGAAUGUUCCCAAUUGAAUAGGAAAGUCCAAGGCAGGUCUCAAUCGAGUAUUGAUGCAAAUAGGCCACAGUAGUCGCAAAAUUGUCAAAUGGCAGUACAUCCUAAGACGCAUGGUCCCUUUGAUCAUUUAAAAGACAGCUAUAUUAUUAGUUUGCUUAAAGGGACAUUCCACCGAACACGGGGGCCGUUAAACUGAAAAGUACUACAACUUGAACGGUUUGGGCAUGAGAACGUGUAAUGUUUUGAGUUCAAAUUUCUCUUCUUCAUUUCUGUUUCUUAAAUUUUAUCUUUAUUUUGCUAAAGAAAAUUUUUUAGAGAACUACUACAUUUUUAAAACUUAGGAUUCUAGCAACUUAUGCAUAAUUUAGACUAGUUUCUAGUACAAAUUCUCUUCAUAAAAGAGUCGAACAAUUGCUAAAUUGCUAACUGAACUCGGUACUAGACCUUUUUUUUUUUUUUUUUUAAAAGAACUCGGAACUAGACCUGAAGCCUAUGUGAUCUUUCAAAUUUAUGUGUACCAGCUUACAAAGGUAAUCCAUUGUUGGUGUAUUGUCUUUUUAAAGGUAAUCCAUUGUUGGCGUAUUAAACCACUUGUUAAAAUAUAAUGAAAAACAAAGUAAAUAUUUCUCCAUUAUUGUCAUGUCAGAACUAAAUUUCUCUAAUGGAUAUUUGCUUAUUAGUUUCUCAGACCUACAAUUUCUCAAUCAUUGUCAGAUUAAAAUUUUUUUUUUGGAUUUGAACUAGUUUUAAUCAGAUUUGAUUGUCAGAAGAUAUGCAUUCGAAUGCAAGAUAUACAGAAGCACCAAUGUUACCUUUAUUUAUAUUGAUUUUCUAGAUUAUUGUAUCUAUUGAUUUUAGGUCUUAAUGCAUAUCUAUGUGUGCAUAUAUUUUUCAUCAAUUGCAUUGUAUAUUUUCACGUUUUUAAAGGUUUAACACCUGAGUCCUCUUUUAAUUAGAAUUAAUUCACACAGCAUAAAAAGUAAAAGGAUGAAAGAUCUUUCAAAAUACAUGAAAAAAAUAAAAGAAAAAUAAAUGAAAGAUCAUCAAUUGCAUCAUUUAUUUGUACCUCUGUGAAAGUAACAACUUCAGUUGUAUCUACCUAGUUACAUGUAUUCAUGCAUUAAACUCCACAAAAAAAUCAUAUUUAGAUUUUUAGGAACUUCACAAUUUAUGGGUGGCCAAAAUUAAAUUAAGAAACUGUUACUAAUUGAGUACAACUAUGAAGAGGGGAGGAGGGAUGAGUUGGAUGGAUCGAAAGAAGGAAUGUAAGUGAAAGAUUCAUAAUUCGAGUCCUUUCACUCACACUAUAAAUAAGCAAAUAAAUAAAUAUAACUAUGAAUCACACUGCACUGCAAAUAACUGGUGGAUAUGGGAUGUUGAUUUAGGAGUAAGCCGGCCAAUGAAGGUAGUACCAAGAGGUGGAAUAAGUAGGGAAUUGGCACUAGUUUUUCCAGGACCAUAAUUUAAUUAUAAGAAUUGUUACGGAUCAUCCACCAAUUCAAUUCUCACCUUAGCAGCGAAACUCAAACAUACAACCUUACCUAGGCAACAUGUGGUGCCAUAGGAAACAUCUAUUAUAAAUAUCUAGUCUGACGAUUUCAGAAACUUGUCAUUGGGAUCUCUUGCAAAACGUCAGGAUGUCCUGUGGUACAAAUUGCACUAUGUUGAGAUGAAAUAAUGUAGGUGGAAGUUCUAGGUGAUGCAUUUAUAUCGCCCUGGCAAGUGAAAAUGGUUCUAUCUGCGAAAAUAUCUAAAUUGAACUUGGCUACCUCAAUGCAUGUUUGACAUUUCUACCAACUUACAAAAAAAAAAAAAAAUCAUAACUUCUGCUACAUGAAUAUAUUUGUUAGGUCUGAUUUCAGAAAAUUGAACAAGAAGAAUAAUAGUAUUCUUUGCAACUCAAUAAUGACAAUAACAUAACAAAUAAAUCAAACAGAGAAAUACGAAAUUUAUGUGAUUCGGUUCAAUUGACCUACGUUCACGGGCGAAGAGGUAGCAGAUUUACUAUAAUAGAAAGAAAUACAAAAGAGAGAAUACAAAAUCCUAAGAAAUAAUUUUGAGACUCAAAAGGCACCUAAAACUAAAAACACGAAAGAGUUUAAAUAGCACAAAUGCCCAUAACUUGCUCUAUUGGUUUGAUACUUAACCAAAACCUCUUUGUGACUGGGACGUGGGUUCCCUAAAACUCUCUUGGAAUGAUGCAUAUGGCACUUGGACUGAUGCCCUCAACACAAUUAGGCUCAUUUAAGUGCACUAUAUUUGUAACUACCAAGAGGAGAUAUUUUUUUUUUGUAAACUUUCAAUAUGGGAUACAAAAACAAAUUCAACAAAUCUCCACCUUGCCAUGUAUCCAACAUCGACAAAUAGCAAAUAAGUUCCACAUUUUUCAUAAAAGUCCCAACAGAUCUCAACAAACCACCAAAAUUCCAACAGACCCCAACGAGCCACCAAUGAAUCAAGAUGCAAAAAAUUCAACAGGUCCUAACGGAUCAAAACUCACAAGAGGUUCAACAAAUCCCAAUGGGUUAAAAAUCAUGAAUAUAAUCUUGCUCCACCUUCUUUUCAAAACCCUCAACGAGUUCCAACGGGUCAAAUAAUUCUUCUUCAAAACUCAACUGAACUCCAACGGAGAGUUUUUUUUCACUCUCUAUAGCACAAAAUCAAUAUCCUAGAAUUGAUAUUGAAGAACCCAAAACCUGAAACCAGAAGUUCUGAUACUAAUUUGUUAGGUCUGGUUCCAAAAAAUUAACUAAUGAAAAUAAUAUGAUAUUUAGUAACUCAAUAAUGACAAUAUAUAACAAAUAAAUCAAAUAGAGAAACACAAAAUUUACGUGGUUCGGUCCAAUUGAUCUACGUCCACGGGCAAAAGGGUAGUAAAUUUACUAUAAUAGAAAGACAGUACAAAAGAGAGAGUACAAAAUCUUAAAAAAUAAUUUCGAGACCUAAAGGGCACCUAAAAUUGAAAAUAUAAAAGAGUUUAAAUAGCACUAAAUGUUUAAUGGUCCAAAGAUCUAUGAUUUGCUCUUUUGGUUUGAUGCCUAACCAAAACCUCUCUGUGACUGGGAUGUGGGUCCAAAAACUCUCUUGAACUAGUACAUAUAGCACUUGGGUUGGUGCCCUUAAUACAAUUAGACUCACUUAAGUGCAUUAUAUUUAUAACCACCAACAGGAGAUAUUUCUUUAUAAACUUUUAAUGUGGGAUAUAAAGACAAACUCAACAAUAUUAGGUGAUAUUCUCAAUCAAUGACUUUAAAACCAUCACGUCAGACUAGCAAUCUGACUUUUUGAAGGUAGUCAAACUGGAAAUUUCAUCACAUAAGCUACUACAUCUUUUGAAAACCAAGAAAACUAUGGAUGUUAGACUUUUUGCUCAAUUGGAGGACAUCCAUACAUUAAGAUUACUGUUUUUGAAAUGCUCAUUUAUUUUGUUCUCAAAUGAGAGCAGUAUAAGAGGUAGAAUGAUUAACAAUUAUGCUGUUAGUUUAACACAAGAUGAAGAAUGCUGGUUUUCUCCAUGUCUUAGUACACAUUUAUAAAGUUCAAUAUGAGUCUUUGCUCAAGAAUUGUACAGUUUAACUCUCAAUCAAUAAAAAUCUAUCAUUUCAAUAAUAAUAGAAAAAAAAGACUAGCAAUCUGACUCAAUGACUUCACGCAAGGCAAGUGCCUCACAGCCACUGGAAUACUCUCCUUUGAAACACAUGAUUAAAAGAGUUUAGAUUUUGCUAAAGUUUUAUAGGAUUUCUGUAAUUAAUGAAAGAGUACUACUUCGCUGAUUUUUUCCUCUCUUUUAUUUUUUAAUCAAAAUUUGAUUUUUUGAAAUUCUUAUUUUGAAGCAAAUAAUAAAUUUUACUAACAAAAACUUAAAGAUGUCCAUUCUCUAAUUUCUGAUUAUGGAGAAAAUAUAUAGAUUUUUUUGCAUAAUUAGUUAAUUAUAAAUCAAUAUUAGUUAUUCUCUAAUUUAACAAAAAAUCCGUAUUCUAUUUUCCUUUAAUUGGACAACACUAAGUCAACUACCCAUUGUUUUAUAAUCACACAUUCACAUUUUGGACAUUUUUUGUUUUUUUUUCUCGAAUCGAUAUUUGCUUAUUAGGUUUUUUUUUUUCUUUGCCUUUUUAAAGGUAAUCCAUUGUUGGUGUAUUUCCUUUACCACUGUCAAUUACAACAGUUAAAAUUAAAUCACAUGUUCAAAUUCAAUUUUAAAAAAGGGAAGCAAAAAUUUCUCCAUUAUUUUCAGAUUUAAAUUUCUCUAAUGGGUAUUUGCUUAUUAGUUUCUCAAAUCUACAAUUUCUCCAUUAUUAUCGAAUCUAAAUUUGUCUUUGGAUUUGAACCAGUUUUAAUUAGAUCUGACUAUCAAAAGAUUUGCGCAAAUGUGUGGGAUUACAAUGAUUCAUCCGAAUGCAAGAUAUAUAGAAGCACCAAUAUUAUCUUUAUUUAUAUUGAUUUCCUAGAUCUAUUGUAUCUAUUAAUUUCAGAUCUAAAUGUAUCCGUGUUAUGUUUGUUUAAUUUAUUUUCUAUCAUUAGUGCAGAUUUAUUGAAUGAAAUGAUCUUUUUUUAUAUAUAAAAAAUGUAUACUACUAAAAUGGAUUCAAAAAAAUAAUGUACAAAAACAUAAUAAAUUUUUUCAUUAAUUAAAAAUUGUGUGGAACAAUCAACAACGUUUAACUAAAUUCGAGCUACAUUUAUAUUGUAUAUCUAUGGCAUCACGCCAUAAAAGAAAGAAUCAACUUUUUAUGCACUGAUAGUAUAACAAUUUUUUUUACAAAUGUGUAUCACAUAUACAUGAUUUAAACUUCAAAUUUGAAUUCAUGUUAUGUGACAUAUUCUAAAACUACUAGUGUAAAACAAAUUACAUACUGAUAAUGUAUAAAAUAGUUAUCCUAAAAGAAAAUGCAAACCAAAGGAAACCAUCACGUCAGGCUAGCCGUUUGAGGCUAUGACUUCGUGCAGCCUCAGAGCCAAUAGACUCUCUUUUGAAACACAUACAUCAAAAAGGUUUAUAAUGCAAAAUGAUGAAUUAUCUUUAAAGAUUACUGGAUUUCUAUAAAUUAAUGGAAGAGUAAUAUUAGUAGGGAGAAGUUUAUCAAGUUUGUCCUGUGGUUUUUGACAUUUUCUCUUGGGUCCCUUGUAGUUUUGAAUAUUAUAUCUACUCUCCUAAUUUUCAUUUUCAAUGUAACAAUGUCAGCCCUUACCUAUAAAAUAUUAAUAUGAAGUGCUACAAUUUAUUUUCAUUUCCAAAUUACCAUUAUAAGGCGUAUAGGUAAUUGAUGUAACUAACUCAACAAAAAAAAAAACUUGAAAAUGCACCAAAAUAGUUAAAAGAAAUUUAUAACGAAAAAUCAUGUAUGGCAGGCUAAAAGAGUUAAAUAGGUUGUAACAAACAAUAGAGGGAAAUGAUAUCAAAUUGUUGAUGUUUGAAAUACGUAGGUUUGCAAGAAAUUGAAAUAGAAAAUUUAAGUUUAAAAGGGCUUGAAAUUUCAAAACAAAAAAGGGAGCAAAAUAUAUUCCAUUAGCAGUGAUGUAGCAGUUUGUGAAAAUGAACGUCUUAAUCAUUAAUAUCUUAAGGUCAUCUUAUUUCCUUUUUAUUGUAUUUUCCAAAGUCCUUCAAUUGAGUUUAGUUGACUUUAUGAGUAUACAAGGGUAAUUUGCAAAAGAAAUGCCUUUUAGCAAAGUGAAAUUGUAAAAAAACCUCAAGGAAGGCUUCUGAAAUUAUCCCUUAUUGGUAUUACAAGUAAUAAAAUGGCAUUUCUGUAAUUGAUUGAAGACUGUGAAUAUUAGUUACGAGAUAACCAACAAGUCUGGUUAUAAAUUAUAAUGCACUGUUAUGGAUGCUGAAACUGUCCUAUGUACAUUACAUUACUUCUUAUUCAUUUGGAGGAAAGGAUCAUGAUCUGAAACGAAGCCAAGUGCUAGAAGAUGGCUGUGAAAUGGGAAGCACGGUUAGUUGCGGGGCAAAUCUUUCUUCAAUUGAGUUAAAUCAGCGUUCGACAAAGUCAAUUUCUGUAAGCAUCAUAUGAUGCCGAAUGUCCUAAUCGAGUACAUUACAUGAAUUUGUGGCAAGAUUAAUCUGAAACUGCUUUCUUUGGAGUAGCAACAUUUGUAGCAAUAUAUAAUUAAUUCAUUUGUAGCAAUAUAUAAUUAAUUUUUUUUCCCCUGCAGAAAAAUGACAUGCCUGUAAUCGUAGACUCUGAGGGUGUAGGAGACAUGGCGCCCUUUUUUUUUUUUUUUUUGGAAAGGGACAUGACACCUUGUGCUUUCCAGAUUCAACACAAAGAUAUUGGAAGUUGAUGUAAUUGAUACACAAGUACAUAAAAGUGCAGAAAUUUGUAUUGCGCAAAUUUCAUUAAGAAAGUGAGGUUGAAGAUAAUGAUCUUGAGGCGUAUUUGAUAUUAUGCUUAAGAUGUUAUUUGUUCCAACUAUAUAAAGUAUUUGCUACAAGUUAUAGCAAAUUAUCUAUAAAAUAUAAUAAGAUUUAGAGAAACUUGAUAGCAAAUUUCAAGUAUUCUUUUACAAAAAAAAAAAAAAAAAGAUCAAGAUUUUUUUUAAUUUGCCAAUGCUUGUCAUUUUUAUAGGAAAAGACAUAACUCAACAGUCACAAAUUAAUCAGCCACAAUCUCCGACGUUUACGGGCAUUAAGAGAUAGCAAUUAAUUUUCAAAAAUGUUUCAGAAAUUUUUUUCAGCUUUUAAGAAGAAUCCACAAACAGAUCCACUUCCCAUAGCCGCGGGUCCCAUCGCAAAUCCACCGUGUUGACUAACCUUUUGUUUAGAUAUGUCUAAAAAUUUUUACUUUCUUCGUUUCAACAUGUCUUAUUUCUAUUUUGUUUCACAACCUAUUCCAAGUAUUUCUAUUUAGGGAUUAAUAAAUAUACAGACCUUACUAAAUCAAACAAGUAUUUUGACACAUUCCUUAAAUUUCUUUUACUGGUGAACCCUUAAUUAUAACUCAAAUAGGAUCUUAAGCCCCACCUUAUUGGCCAGACUUUGUGAUAUUGUGAUGGAAUGGACACAUGGGCUCCAAAAGAAAUUUGGGUUUAUGACAUUUACGUACCAUGAAUUGAUACCUUACCCAAUUUGUCCUUCUCCCGAAAUUUGACCCUAAGUUGGGCUGCCAGGGCCAGAGAACGCGACUUGCACAUAGAUAAAUUGUUCGGUCAAAAAUCCUUUUCCCUUCUGAGAUUUUUUUGUUGGCAGUUCCUCCAAUUAUUUAAUAUUUUAUCUUUUUUUUUAAUUUCUCCUUCCUCUUCACUUCCUUCUUUAACUUUUCUUUUAACCCGAUAUUGCCUAGAUUACUUACUAGGCCCUACUAACAUUUUACGUUCAAAAUCAUCAAGAUAUGGCAUAAAAGUAUGAGCCCCACCAUGGCUAGAUCCUUAGUUUUAAGGGGCAAGGUGACUUAAUUGAGCAAUAUAUGGAUAUGGUAAUAAGGGAACAUAUGAAUUUAUUGUACAAUUGAUCCUUACCUUUUAUCCCCUUAUGUUGUUCCCAUUGUAACUGAAAUUUCAUAUGGUAACAAAAUCAAAAUUCAAAGAAAGUGGGAGCAAGACUAUGCAUUGUAAGUAUAAUGCAUUGCAUAUUAUUCAAGCACUAGAUCCAAGCAUAAUAUGGAAGCAUUAAGAUGUUCAAGUAGAAUUGAACCAAUUUACUGCCUCCCAGAACAUCUAAUUCUUAAAAAGAAAGACUACAGGAAUAUGUUUGAAUCAUCCAUUUAUUUUUAUUUUCAAAUAAAAAGCCAAAGGUGUCUUCUUCAUUAGCUCUCCCAAUGAACAACUUCAGCUUGGAGAUUCAGAACUGUAAGCAGCUGCAAAUCAAGAAUUCAUGCAUUAGAAUGAGAAGCCAUCUUUUUCCAUGGUAGUGAGCACAACACGCAGCUUUUGCUUUUGUUUUUUUUUUUUGGACUGGAAUAGAUUUUGAAUGGUAGAACGAGUUAGCUUGCAAACUUAUGUCAAGAAUAAAAUUCUUUACCUAAUAUAGAAAAAAAUGGACUUCAACUUGUGGGCUGUAUUAAAUUCUUGAGUAUACCUGUAGAUAUUAAGCUUCAAAAUUUUCUUGAUGCACCCUGACACCAAGGAAAACAUCCUUAAUGAGAUGUAAUUUUCUGACAACUUCAUUCAUAUGCAUCCUGUCAUUUGGUAAUCUUGCAGAGCACUUAAGUCCAAUUUUCAGCAGGGAAAUAAUGCAAUCAAUCUCUCUUCCACCAUUAAUGGUUUCCCCUCCAGGAGUCAUAUUUCUGUUUUCAUCUCCUUCAAGAAGAAGCAACGAGUCCACGAUCUCAGAAACUUGUUCAUGCAAAGCCCCAUUAACAUAGUUAUGCAGAUCAAGGUCACCCACGAAUAUAUCAUCUGUUGGCCUCCUUCCUGUAAUCAUCUCUAGCAAAAGAAUGCCGUAGCUGUAGACAUCCCCUUGAGUUGAUGCCACAAGACCCAUUCCAUACUCUGAGAUUUUGUUUCUAGACAUGUCAUUAUUGGGUGGUAAAAGAAAAACUAUAUAAAAAAUAUAAGUGAUUAAAAUUAAUCAAAUGUUAGAUUGGGGCACAAUGGACCUUCUUUUAUAACUAAGUGACUUAACUAAAAUUAGCUACUAUGCAUCAGUGAUUAGAGAUCUCAUAUUAAUUAUAAUAAAAAAAUUAAAAAGAAUUAAAUGUCCCAAAAGUUCUAUAUUUCUGUGCACCAAAAAAAGGUUGUAACUGAUAAUUACCUGGAGCUGCAUAACCGAUUGAUCCUUUUAUGGCAAUAGUACUGCUGGUUCUUUGCUCGGAAGAAGUGUUGACGGGUUUUGGGAGAAGCCUUGCCAAUCCAAAAUCACCCACAUGAGCAACGAGAUCAUUGUCAAGAAGAAUGUUACUUGGUUUUAGAUCACAGUGAACAAUCUCAGCUUCGCAGUGGUUCUGAAGAUACUGCAAUGCUGAAGCUACAUCAAUUGCAAUGUUCAGCUUCUGAGAAAGAUUAAGACUUCUUGAGCUUGUUGCCUGAUCAGUUGUCUCUGAAGGAUGCAGCCACAGGUCCAGAUUUCCAUUUUCCAUGAACUCAUAGAUUAGAGCUUUGAAUUCAUCACCCUUGGAAUCAAUACUAGAGCAAUAACUCACGAUAGAAACGAGGUUUCUAUGGCGAAUGUUUCGCAAUGUUUUGCACUCGGCCUUAAAACUUUUGGAAGCGCCAUUCUUUCGAAGAUCGAGAACUUUAAUUGCUACAAGCUUGUUGCCAUGUUUUUCUAGCCUUCCUUUGUAGACAGAUCCAAAAUUUCCUGAACCAAUUAAGUUUUCUGGUGAAAAUCCAGAAGUUGCACGAAGAAGUUCAUGGUAAGAAAGCCGCAAGAGCUCAUCGAUUCUUGGGGGCAUGCUAGAGAAUCCUGCCACCAUUCUUCUUUCUCCUUUAUGAUAUACCAAGAAAUAUAACAACAUUGCACCGAGAACCAGAAGCGCUGUUGGUAAAACAAUGGACAGCAAUAUGAUAACCUUCAGCUUUCCUCUGUUUUUCCCCUUAAUCACUGGGCAAGGUGGGAACUCCAAUUCUGGAAUGCCUCCACAGAGUUUGUUGUUGCCAGUCAAUGAUAUUUGACUUGCAUUACUGAAAAUUCCAGUGUUUGGUAUCUUGCCCUCGAUGUCGUUGUAGGAAAGGUUUAAGUAGCUCAAAGAGUGAAGCUUCUCAAGUUCUCUGGGUAUUGGACCGGUCAAGUUAUUACUUGAAAGGUCUAAUUGCUGGAUGCUCUUCCAAGAAGCCAAAUUUGGUGGAAUUGGUCCUUGGAAAAAAUUGGCUUCCAUAUAAAGAUUCUCCAGAUCUGAACAGUCAGCAAGUGAGAUGGGUAUAGCUCCAGCAAGUUGGUUGUGGGAAACCGAGAAAUUCACCAAAUGUACAAGCUUUCCAACUUCAGGAGGCAGAGAACCAGUGAAAGAAUUUUCACUUAAUACCAUAGCAAUCAGUGAUGAGUGCGUCUGCAGAAAAUGUGGUGAUAUAAUUCCAGUGAAGUUGUUUUGAGAUAUAUCCAGAUAUUGCAAAUUUUGACAGUUCAUAAGAACAUUGUCAAAUAUAUAGCACCCUUCAAACUGGUUAAAUGAUAAGUCCAGAUAGAAUAGAUUGGUGUUGUUGCAUAGGGUAGAGGCUAUCUGUCCUGAAAAUUGAUUAUUGUCAAAACGCAAUCCUUGCAAAUUUGGUAACUUGCCAAAAUCUCUUGGAAUAAUCCCUGAAAAAGAGUUCAAUUCAAGGCCAAGUUGAAUUAGGUUGACAAAGUUUCCAAAUCCUUGUGGAAUGGUUCCUGACAGUUGGUUUGCUCCCACGAACAAUUCAGUGAGUUGAUUUGAGAGAUUGGCCAUGAUUUUAGGUACAUUACCUCCAAGUUUAUUGGCACUCAAGGAAAGAAUUCUUAGAUUACUGCAGUUGGUCAGUGAUGCAAUAAAAUCCAAGUCUCCUGUAGAAUUAUUGCCGAAGAGAUUAUCACUAAGAGAUAAAAAAUUAAGUUGUGUCAGAUCUCCUAAAUUAGUUGGAAUUUGGCCGGCAAACUUAUUGCUGGAAAGAUCAAGUUCCUCAAGCCCAGAAGCAUUGGUGAUUGAAGUUGGAAAGUUUCCAUAGAACUUGUUUCCCCCAAGAAGUAAUUCUUCCAGAUUUGGUAGGGUGAGACCUAUGUUGGUUGGGAGAUUGCCAUGAAAGGAAUUGUCCGCCACUGAAAUGGCAGUAAUGGCUGAACUAUUAAAGAUAGAGGCAGGGAUUAUACCAGAGAGUUUAUUUUCUGCUGCUGCAAAAAAAGAUAACCCUUUUAAGAGCCCCAUUUCCAUGGGCAAAUUUCCCUCCAGAUUGUUAUAGCCAAAAUCGAGUUGAGUCAGCCAUGAUAAGUUACCAAUGGAGGAGGGAAUCUCUCCUGUCAAAUUGUUUGUGUAAAGAAAAAAAUUUUCAAGCUUCUUCAAAUUGCUCAGCUGAUCAAUCGGAAUUUUCCCUUCUAGCUUGUUGUCAUGUAGGCUAAUAGUUACCAACUCUGAGCAGUAGCUCAGGUUUGCUGGGAUUUUUCCACUGAUUGCGUUACUUGUCAGGUUCAAGACUCUUAGCCUGAGAAGGCGACCAAAUUCUUGGGGAAUCCCACCAUGGAAUUGAUUCUCCCCAAGUUGGAUGAACCUCAUGAAGCUUAGAUUUCCGACCUGAGGAGAUAUAGUUCCAGACAACUGCUUAUGCCUUAGAGUCAAGGCCAUGACCCUUUGAUGUCGGGCACUGCAUGUGACUCCUUCCCAGUGACAAUGGUGCUGUGAGUGGUUCCAGGACUUUAGCACUCCAGACGGAUCAUCGUAUAUCUGAUUCUUGAAUUCAAGCAGAGCAAGACGAUCGGUCUCAUUUUGAAAUUGUUUAGAAGCUGAAACAUGGCUUACUGAAAGGUUCAUGGCAACUGAGAGGAGGAGAAAAAUGCCCACUAAUGUUGAUGAGCGAAAUCCCCACAUGGUAUUUGGAAUUUCGAUGAGCAGUGAAGGCAAAGAUGGAUUAAUUUGCAACAAAUUGGUGAUAGAAUGAUAAAAGUUUCUGCGGAAUGGGAACAAUGUUUUGGCUGUUAUAGAAUCUUGCAUGUAGCCCACACAAUUGGAACUAAUGGGACUUAAUUUUCUAGGUAUAUUCUUGGAGCUAAACCUCGUUGUCAGAACUUAAUAGAGAAAUGGUCAGUAAGCUUCCACCAACUUGCAAUUUACGCAUAUCGACCAACUUGCAAUACUUUUCAAAGCUGGGAUUAAUGUGAUCAUCUACCAGAGAUGAUGAUUAACAGGAAGCCUGAAUUUGUGUGGAGUACUUGAUCUUCCCAAUUAACACAAAUCACAAGAAUCUUGAUAUUAUUAGGUGAUGUUCCCAAUUUUCCCCCUUUUUAUGUUGUUUUAAUGCCAUUUUCUCAAAAAAAAUUUAAUUUUUUUUAAAAAGAAGGGAUUUUUUUAAUGUUAUAAUUUUUAGUUUUUUCUUUUUUUAUGUUGACUUAAUGUCAUAUGUGUAGGGUGAAUUCUUAUUUUAUGAUGGAAAAAAAAAAGAAUUCUACAACAAGGGCGAUUGUUGGAGUUGUUUCUACAAAUGAGGGUCUUCGCAUUCUGAGAAUGCGAGCUCAUUGAGCUCGCAUUUCACGAAUGCGAGCUCCAAUGUGAGCUCGCCGAAUGCGAGCUGUGUUUGGAAAAAAAAAAAAAAAGGCUUGAGACUUGGGGCUACUGACUAUCUUGUGAAGCCAUUACACACAAAGGAGCUCUCAGAAUUGUGGAUGCAUAUGAAGAACAGGUGCAUUAUUUGUGUUAUAUGUUAUCAUACUUAAUUGGUAUAGAAGCGUUCUUUUCAAGAAUAUAAGUUUGAAAUCUUUCUUUUUUUUUUUGGGUUUUAUUUCUUCUUUGCAAGAAUCAAGAUCCUAAAGGUGUCUAAAAUAUGCUGCAAUAUUUGCACUCUGACAGGAGGAGUGAAGUUCUACAGGGAUGCUGUUCAAAGAUUAAGCAGAUCAACAUAUAAUCACAGGAUGAAAAACAUGCCGAAGUUACUUUUUCACAGCUCUAUUACUUGUGAAAUAAUCGUCAUCUUAAUUAUUGCAACAAAUAUAAAGAUCUAUCCACAAUAACUUUAACUUAUGUAGUAAUGAUUGUAUUGAUUACUUCAGCCUCCAGAAUACAAAAACUUUCACUGCCAUGCGGACUUUGAUGUUUUAGUCCUGGUGAUGUUUUGGCCUUAGGUUGAAUACAACAAUCAUUUAGGCGUCUCGAGUCAAUUUGUAAUAUAAAGCAUUCUGUAAGCAACUUCUGGGCUCUACUGAGCUCGCAUUCCAGAAAUGCGAGCUCUGCUGAGAGAGCUCGCAUUCGUGAAAUGCGAAGACCCUCCGACGGAUUCUCUCGCCAAAAUCAGCCCUUUUGUAGAAUUUUUUUAAAAUUCAUCACAAAGUUAGAAAUUUCUCCAUAUGUGCAUGUAGGGAAAAAAAAUUAAAGUAAUGUUCCAAUGCUAUCCCUAAAAUCUAUAUCAGAUUGUCAUUUUAGAAUGUGUGAUAGACAAGAAAAAGUUUUUUUAAAAAAAUAAAAAAAAGAAACAUGAGAGAUGAAACAAUUUUGGUGGUCCCAAGAUUUUUAAUGAAAGGGAAAAUUACUUGGUGAAGACUAUCAUUUAUGGUCCGCAGCUGGGAAAAUGGUUAUUGGUCCUUUACGUAUCACCGUCUAUCAAUUUGGAAAAAAGGGUUUUACGAAUGAUGACAAACAUGAAUUUGAAAAUCAGAUCACAGAUGUAUAGCGUUUCUGUCGAGUUUGCUCUUUUUGCUUUUUUUUUUUUUUUUUCAAGAAAUCCACCUUGGGAUGGCGGAGAUUUUGCAUGUAAUCCUUCCAGUUUGCUGAGAAAUAAAUGAAAAUAAAAGCCGAAUUUUCCAAAUUACAUUUCAAUCUUCUCGGUGACCAGGGGCCUUGGCUUAGCAACGAGACCAAGUCCUGAUCACUUGUUCACGCUGCUAUUUCUUCUACCUGUGCAUUUACUUAUCUAUUUAUGUUUUCUUGUCGUACAUUUUUCUUAUUUUUUCCUUUUAAUUGAACAAUAAAGUCCAUGAAGCCAAGUAAAAUUAAUUACGAAGUUCUUUUCAUUUUCUAUUUUUGUUGUUCAUCAAUAAAGAGAGGGUCAGUUUUAGUCAAAAUCCUACUGUUUUAAAUCUUGAAAGAUGCAUUAAUUAUCCACUAAAUCAUAAGCUCAUUCUCAUUUAGCAAACAACUCCCCAUUCAGCGGUAAACUCAAAGCAGAAAUUUUUCCAAGUAACAUAUCACUGUUAGACAGGUUUUUCUUCAGAAUUUUGAUGUAUUUUUAAAAAAGGUUAUGACUCUUUUCCCCGAUGAUGAUAUGAUAAUAAUAAUAAUGGUAAUAACCCCAAUGAAGCCAAACAUAAGCCCCGUUUGAUAAGUGAGUUUUUUGGGAGUUUGUAAAAAAUUUUACUGUAAUUUACUGUAGAAUUUGUAAAAAAACUUUUUGAAGUAUGUAAAAAUUUCUUUAAGAAAAGAAAACCUUUCCUCUUUUUUCCCCUUUUUCUCUGCUUCUUCUCCCCCACGCCAAGUCAAUAUUUUUGUGGUUAACCAUUUUGUACUUGCACUGCUGGAUCAUCUUUCUUCCUCAUGCACAAAUUUUUUCUCAUUAAGAUGGUAACAAGAUGUACUGUUGAUGAAUCAUUUUCAGGUACAGAAGAUCCUUAGCCACGGAACGUCUAUUCAUUGUUAUUGACAAAGUGAUCAUGAGUUAAAAGCUACUCAGCAGUUCAGAUUAGAUAAAUUCAACGUAUUUCAUGCACUCAAGUCAAUAUUUUUGUGGUUAACCAUUUUGUACUUGCACUUGGUGUGCAACUUGAUUUCUGGUUAACGUUCCUCAUUUGAUUGCUAGAUUCUAGAUCAGGACCAUGGUUUUCAAGCAAUAUGGUCUGUUGGGGAAAUGAGAGAAAUAUUUUUUGAAUAAUUAUUCUUGACUAACAUCCGAAAUUGUUGAUCAUAUAAUAAAGGGUUAAUCACAAAAACUUCCCUCAAGGUUUAACUAGUUUUGCACUUUAUGCUCUAACGUUAUUUGUUCCUCAUUUUUGUUCCUCAUUUUAUCAGUAAAUCAUUAGUCAACUCCAACAUUGCGUAACCAAAAUGUCAAAAAGAUAUUGAUACCCUUAAGAGUUAAUUGCAGUAAAUCCCCUUAAGGUAUAGUUAUUUUGACCUUCACCCUCUAAUAUCAUCUUUCUGUUAAUUUGUCUACUUGUCCCUAAAAUCAUUAGUCAAUUCUAAUAUUUUGUACCACUCAAAACAAAUAAUGUCUAAAAAAAAAGUUACUCAAAAAAUAGUCUCCACUUCACUGAAAAACUUGUUAGAAAGGAUCAAAUAGUUGCUGUUGACUUACUUUUUAAGUCUAUAAUUUUAAGCUUGUAUUUUAGUACAUUGCAUGUCUUUUCUGCAAGGAUUAGAAGACUUGAGUCUGUUGGUGUAAAUACCACGAAGAUGAACAAAGAAAGAAAAGGUUUCAAAUAUAAACAAACUAAUGGAUAAUCCACCCACCUUCUUAAUUUUAGGAAUUUUCAUGUUUGUAUUUAUCGUUUAAAAAUGUCGUGAUUUGAAGUGACUUCUUUGUAGGUGGACUCUAUUUUGACAGAGUUGAUAUUUUUAUUAUUUCAUUUUACUUUAUUUUUUUGUUCCUUGCGUACCCUAAGCAUUAUUUCAACAAGGCACUGGAUUUUGUUGAAAUAAAUUACACUCUAACAAAUACUUUGGGAUGACAUUAUUGUCCGUUUUGCUUUGUUUUGGUCUUUUGCCUUUCUUUCUACUUCAGUUAAGAAUCUCAAUGUGUAUGUAUGGGAGAAGUGAGAAAGAAAUUUCUCUAUCCACAAUUUUUGAACAUACAGAAAAUAUUCAAUUAGAGUGGCCCUCUUAGACUUUUCUCAAAGUUUUUUCUAACCCCUCAUUUACUUCGUCAAUAUUAACCAAUCCGAAUACUCUCACAAUUUCUAUAUUCGUGGCCCACAAUUUGUUAUUCUUUCAUGUCUAUGACAGUGAGUCUGCUAAAUGACUUGUCCACUUCACUCAACGACUUGUUAGGAAGGACCAAACAAUUCCUAUUGACCUGAAAAGUAACUUGGCAAGCUACUGAACAAAUUUUCGCAAGUUUCUUACACGAGAAGUGAUAAUCACCUGUUAUCGUAUCAUUGGUCUUUCGCCUCGCCCCUGUAGUAUAAGAAAUUGUUUUUCUGUAUAAAAGAUAUGUUAAAAAAAUAGGAAUUUCUAUAUAAAAGUCACAAUAAAGAUUAGGGUGUGAAUAUUUUUCUUUAGGAAAGAUAUUACUAUAAAAAGUUUUAAUUUGAUGUUUAAAAGUUAAGGACAUAAGUGUCUAACACAUGUAUAAAGUGUGAAUUUAGCAUGAAAGGGCUGUGAAUUUGAGUUCUUCCUAAAAUGAAUUGAGUUAAUUGAGAGGAUAAUAGUUUAGACUUGUUAACACUCUAAAUUAUCUAACACUCAUGAUAUAUUUAGAGGAAAAAUCCAAUACUAAAUGACAAUGAUUUAAUCAACAGAAACAAAUUAAUAGAUAACUCAUCUCUUUAAUUUUAGAAAUUUCCGUGUUUGUAUCUAUUAUUUAAGAAUGUCAUAAUUUAGAAUCGAUUUUUGUAGGUGGACUCUAAAAAAUGCAAGAGUUGGUACUUUUGUUAUUUCAUUUUAUAUAAUUUUGUUGUUCCUUGCAUGCCAUGAGCAUGACUUGAACAAGGCAUUGGAUUUCGGAGUAAAUUCUUAAAUUGUGAUGAAAAAAAAAGUUUUUCUACAAGGGGGUAAUUUUUUAAGUUAAUUCGAGGAUUAUGAUCUUCGCAUUUGUGAAAUGCAAGCAAAUGCAAAGGUCAAUCUCUCAGGAAAAAAGGAAAAAUAGCUGGCAUUUGGCAAAUGCGAGCUGAGUUACCUUGCAUUUGUCGAAUGCGAGGUACGCAAUCCGAACACAAAGCCCUCCCAAUUACGCAUUCAAAUCUGUCUCACUCUCUCUUCACUCUCUCCAUCCAGCUCACUCCUCAUUGAGGUACUUUUGUUAUUUCAUUUUAUUUAAUUUUGUUGUUCCUUGCAUGCCAUGCGCAUGACUUGAACAAGGCACUGGAUUUUGUUGAAGUAAAUUACGCUCUGACAAAUACUUUGGGAUGACAUUGUCCGUUUUGCUUUGUUUUGGUCUUUCGCCUCCCUUUCUACUUCAGCUAAGAAUCUCAAUCAAUGUGUUUGGAUUGAGAUAAUUUAAAACAAAAUAAUUUACUUCAUAAAUUUCAAUCAUCUUUUUAUCUUUUCAAUCACCUUUUUAUCUCACAUACAUUAUAUCAUAAAAAGUGUUAUAGUAAUUAUCUCAAAUAAAUUAUCCAAAUAAACUCUUAUCCAAACAAAUUGUCUGGGAGAAGCAGCGAAAAAAUUUCUCUACCACACACGAAGAUUAUUCAAUUUGUAGACCCUCAACGCCUAAAAAAAGUUAAAACUCUCGAAACUAGAGACACUUUCUUAGACUUUUCUCAAAGUAUUUCUAGCGUCUCAUUUAGGUCGUCAAUAUUUCUAAAUACUCUCCCAAUUUCUAUAUUCGAAAACUACAAGUUAUUAUUGUUUCAUGUCUACAACAGUCAGUCAGUCAGUCUACUACAUGACUUGUCCACUUCAUCCAACCACUUGGUAGGAAGGACCAAACAGUUGCUGUUGACUUACUUUCUAAGUCUAUAAUUUUAAACUCGCAUUUUAGUACCCUGCAUCAUGUCUACUCUGCAAGGACCGGAAGACUUUAGUCUCCUCGUAUAAAUACUAGGGAGAUGGACAAAGAUAGAAAAGGUUUCAAAUCAUAAAUUACAGUUCUGAAAAAAAAAAUCAUAAAUUACAGUAACCACUUUUCUUUAAGCUAUACUUGUUCACUAUUAAUAUCUGUUGCAAAUAAUAAAUAUCUUUCGAGAUAAGACAAAAUUUGUUUGUCUAUAAUAUUGAUAGGGCGUCGAGCCUAUGCAAUAAUAAUAAUAAUAACCUAAAUACCACUAAAAUCAGUCAAUAAUUAAUCCUAGAUACUGGAGCAGGGACUCUAGGUGUGCAAUGGGUUACUUGAUUUACCCUGUUCCCGAAGAGUUUGCUUAAUCCGAUUUACUAGAAUUAAUUAGUUGACAAAAAUUACUGAAUAGUAGACAGUGGCAAGUAGGGUCGUCUCCUCAGGAACUGGGGAUAUUUGUCUCUUUUAAAUUCCAAUUGGUAAGGGGGGAUUUCACCGGAAUGAAACUAAAAACAAUUAAACAAUUCAACUAAAAAUGAAUAAUUAACUGGCACGAAUAUAGCAGGAAGUAAAUCAAGAAUAAAUAAAUUCUAGCUAAGGAUACAACUACUCAGACACAGUCCAUUUAUCCGAUCAUUGAUGCAAGAGAGGUUCACUUAAUUUAUUAAUAGGCUAGUUAUAGUCGCCGAUGAACUCUAACAACCAAUUUUUCCUUAAUUUAUUGAUAACCAAGGUACGACCAUUGAUCACCCCUAACCAGAAAAUACUCCUAGGUACGACCGUAGGAAUUAAUUUCCCAAUUGCAUUAAUAACUAGAAAAACCUAUCCCUAAUCAAUAACACGCUACGAGGGUUAUUUAAAUUAAAUUGCACGUUCCCCUAAUGUGUAAACAUAUCAGUUGCCACUAAUAUUAAUCAAUCAAAUACGGAUUUAAUUGACUAAAUUUGCACGAGAUUAAUAAAUCACAUUGAACAUCGGGCCCUUGACAUCCAAUUAAUAAAAUAAUCCCAUCAAAAUUCAAGCAGACAACGUGCAAAUAUUAAUAAAUUGAGGAACGCGUGAAAACUAAUUAGAUCUCACAGAUUUUUGGGACUGCACUGUCGAGUUGACCCUUGACUAGAUGGAAGGCUUAGCCACGCCGCAUAAAUAAAUCUCUACGCAAAUUAAUGGAUUCCAAAGACAUUGCGUUUUUUACUAGAAAGCAAGGAAUCAAAGAUGUUUUUCCUGUCGAACACCUGGCGUGUGUUAAAGGCCAGUCAGAAGAAAGAAAACUAAAAACAAUGCUAAAGGCUAAAACUUCAGCCGCCUGUACGUUUCUUCUUGUCUAUUUAAGAGCCAAAAGAAAGAAACUAAUCUAAUCUUCAGUGGUCCCCACCCAACUGGUAGUCAAAGCUACCCAAAAGAAAAGCCUGCCGAAUUGCUUAUUGUUUCAAGUCUUGUACGUUUCUUUCUUUGAAGAGCUAAAAUGACUAAAUAUCUUUCACUAGUUUUGUGGUUCCUACCGAUCCAAGGGCCCAAGGAUUGGAGCCCUUAAAAGUCUCCAUUUUGUCCAGAAAAUCCCUCCUUUUUGGUAGUUUUCUGCUUCAUUCCCUGAAAUUAAGUCCAGAUAUCAAAUAUAAAUGGAUAUCAACAAUUAACACAAUAUUUGGCAGGGAUAAAAGGGAAAAUUAAUAAUAAAAUUACUAACAAAUGAUACCCUAUCAAAUAUACACUAAUAUAACGGACUAAUUAGAACAACAAAGCGUAUUUUAAAAUGUGAAGAAUGAUUUUCUGCAGUAAAUCAAUCCUUUACGUGAUGUUGCACAGCUAGAAUUGUUAUGAUUCAGGAAUUGUAUCUUAUAGUCAAUGAUCAAAAAAAUUUUCAAAGUUUUGUUUCAUGUGAAUAGGUAUUUACAUAAGAAGCGCAAGUGAUAUGAUCAGAAACAUUGUCUAAAGUUGAGGCAUCAUUUGGUGGUAAAAUUUUAAUGAAUUUUAACCGUUAACAAGGAUCUGACCGUAAGUCCAAACUCCAAAGUCAGAUCAAAUCAAAAGAAACUUCUCAAUUCUCAAAAGUGAGUUCGGUCCUUGGAUCUGGCUCGAAGCAAAUCAUAUCCGGCGUCAAAUUUAGUAAGGAAAAUUUUCCUUACUUCUCAGAAUAGGAUCCGACCUCGAGAUCUGAUUUGAAGCAAAUGCCAGAUCUUUGAGUAGAUCUAAUUUUCUUGCUAUCUCAUUCAUAGGCACCCGAAUUGGGCUAAAAAGAGAUGGUUUGCUGUGAGUUUACAGAGGAACUCUGUUUCUUUGUCUUCCAUGGAUAAUCUAUGGAGAGAUUAACAGUUAUUGAUGCAUACAUACAGCUUCGGUAACAACUAGGUUUCCGUCCAAAAAGGAUCGCCGGAGCGGAGUUCCCUUGGAUUCGACCUAACUUUCACUAUCAUACUAUAAAAAUUUCUUAUUUGUGAUGUGGAAUUAGUAUUAUUUUUUGGAGGUUUCGACAAGCGUCCAUAGUGACUAGAAGAUUUUCUAGGGCAUGUUUGGGUUUGGGUCGCUUAUUGAAAAGUACUUAUAUAAUAGAACUUUUAAUAAAAGUACUUAUUAACUACUUAAAUACUUUUAAAUAUAUUGUUUGGAGACAUAAUUCAAUAAAUACUUAUUGUAUUGAAUAAUGUAUAAUUUAAAAAUUUUUAAAAGUUUUUAUCUCUUUAUUUAGUUCAUAAUAUAGGAUAAGAUGAUUAAAUUUGAUGUUUUAUUUUUUAAAUCACAAAAGCUACUCUAAAAGUACAAAAUUUUAGAUUUUACUAAAAGUGUUUUUAAUACCAAGAGCUCUGCUCCUAGUUUUAUGAGAUAAUGUUUACCAAACACUUUAAAAGUAUUUUUAGAACAUAAAAGUACUUCUUUUACCAAAAGCACCGCAAUCCCAAACGGGGCCUAGUUGCCGUUGUUGGCAUGUCUUGCUUUUUCUUUAUAAACAUACGAAGUGAUUGUGUAGGUGAUGAUUCAUAUGAUAUCAUGCCCUCUGAUAUUAAAUGAAGUCGUUUGCCUUUUUUAUUCCUUGGUCAGUCAGCAUUUGAAUUUUUUCCUUUGUUUUCAGUUAAGAGUUGUGUUGAGCUUUAAGAUUAACUUGUGAAGAGAAUGAUAGGAGAAUGCAUGAAACUUAUCUCGAACAAGGUUCAUAUGCUGACUUGACUUAAAGAUUGGACCAAGAAUUGGUUGAGUCUGCCUAUCACAAUUUAUUAAAAUCCUUGAAAGGUUGACUUGGUUUUUUAGUUUCAAAAUUGGCAUAUUUGUUUUCCAAUUACACAAAGAAUUGGUCAAACAGCUCUAACACUAGCUUCGUUAACUAGCUUCGUUAAAGUGACAAGUAUAGAAAAUUACUCCUCACUAAUCUGAGAUGAAAUCAAGUUUCAGACAGUUCUGCAAUUUCGUAUACUUAUGGAGAUCCAUUUUUUCUCGGAGCAGAGGAAUAGAUUUGUAAAUUAAGCGUUGACUGAAAGUUUCUACAUUAUGGGACAAUAUUAAGCAUGGAAUAAAUACGCUUAUUGUAUGAUGUAUAUUAUGGAAGCAUAAGAUCCAAGCAUAGUAUGGAAGCAUAAAAAUGUUCAAGCAGAAUUGAGCCAAUUGACUACCUUUCAAAACAUACAAUUCUUGUAAAGAAAGACUAGGAAUGUAUUUGAAUCAUCCAUUCAUUUUUUCAAAGAAAAAGCCUUAGAUGUCUUCUUUAUCAGUUCAUCGAACUAGCAACUUCAUCUUGUUUGAUUUAGACCAGCAAGCAGCUGCAAAUCAAGAUUUCAAGCAUUAGUACGAGCAGACAUCCUUUUCCAUGCUAGUGGGCACAACACAUAUAGUAUAACUUUCUCUUGUUUCCGUUUUUUUUUUUUUUUUGGGGUCUACAAUGGAUUCUGAAUGAUAGAAACCAGUUAGCUUACAAGACUUCGUCCAAAAUAAAAGAACUUAUCUAAGAUAGAAAAAAAAUAAUGAACUUCAACUUGUGGGCUGUAUUAAAUUCUCGAGUAUACCUGUGGCUAUCAAACUUGAAGAUUUUCUUGAUGUACCCUCACACCAAGUAAGACAUCCUUAAUGAGAUGUAAUUUUCUGACAACUUCAUUCAUGUGCAUCCGAUCAUUUGGCAAUUUUGCAGAGCACAUCAGUCCGAUUUUUAAUAGGGAAAUAAUGCAAUCAAUCUCUCUUCCACCAUUAAUAGUUUCCUCUCCAUGAGUAAUUCUACUGUUUUCAUCUCUUCCUUCAGAAAGAAGCAACGGGUCCACGAUCUCGGAGACUUGUUCAUGCAAAGCCCUGUUAACAUAGUUAUGUAUAUCUAACUCAUCCAUGAACAUAUCAUCUGUUGGCCUCCUCUUUGUGAUCAUCUCUAGCAAAAGAAUGCCGUAGCUGUAGACAUCCCCCGGAGUUGAUGCCGCAUGACCCAGCCCAUACUCUGAAUUUUUGUUUCUAGAUAUAUUAUUGUUAUGUUGUAAAGGAGAAGCUAUAUAUAUAUAUAUAUAUAAUCUAAGGAAGUAAAUUAAAUAUAGCUGCUAUGUUUAAGUACUAGUUUGUAAAUAAGACUUGAUUGAAAUUGUUAAAAUGAAUCACUACACAUUUUUUCCUUUUCCAUAUGGACUUCCGAGAUUUUCUUGCCUUUUGUUUCAAUAAUAUGUAUAUUUUUCUUGUUUUAUACUAUUAUUAUUUAAUAUUAGCUUUAAUUUGCAUUGCAAAGUUAUGUUGACCUCUCCUAUAACUGUUUAACAGAAUUUUAUAUUCAGGAGGAAGUAUAAAAAGUUUAAAAACUCUGAUGGAAAUUAUGAUAAAAAAAGAAUAAUGAUAACCCGUGAAAGUGCCAACUUUUAAGUGCCAAACAGUAGUCUGUGCACAAUUAAGUAACAUUUUAACUGUAAACAUUCGUAAUUACCUGGAGCUGCGUAACCGAUUGACCCUUUUACGGCUAUAGAACUGCUGGUUCCCUGCUCGGAAGAUCUGUCGUUGGGUUUUGGGAGGAGCCUUGCCAAUCCAAAAUCACCCACAUGGGCAACAAGAUCAUUGUCAAGAAGAAUGUUACUUGGUUUUAGAUCACAGUGAACAAUCUCUGCUUCGCAGUGGUCGUGAAGAUAUUGCAAUGCUGAAGCCACAUCAAUUGCAAUAUUUAGCUUCUGAAGAAGAUUAAGACUUCUUAAGCUUGUUGCUUGAUCAGCUGUCUCUGCAGGAUGCAACCACAAGUCCAGAUUCCCAUUUUCCAAAAACCCAUAGACUAGAGCUUUGAAUUCAUCACCUUUGGAAUCAAUACUGGAGCAAUAACUCACGAUAGACACGAGGUUUCUAUGGCGAAUGUUUCUCAAUGUUUUGCUCUCGGCCUUAAAACUUUUGGAAGCCCCAUUCUUUUGAAGAUCAAGAACUUUGACUGCUACAAGCUUAUUGCCAUGUUUUUCUAGUGUGCCUUUGUAGACAGCUCCAAAGUGUCCUGAACCAAUUAAGUUUUCUGGAGAAAAUCCCGAAGUUGCACGAUGAAGUUCAUGGUAAGAAAUUCGCAAGAGCUUAUUCACUCUUGUAGGCAUGCUAGAGAAUCCGGCCACCAGUCUUCUUUCUCUUUUUCGAUAUACCAGGAGAUAUAACAACACUGUACCAAGAACCAUAAGCGUUGCCGAUAAAACAAUGGACAGCAAUAUGAUAACCUUCAGCUUUCCUCUGUUUUUCCCCUUAAUCACUGAGCAAGGUGGGAACUCCAAUUCCGGAAUGCCUCCACAGAGUUUGUUGUUGCCAAUCAAUGACAUUUGACUUGCAUUGCUGAAAAUCCCUGUGUUUGGUACCUCUCCCUCGAUGUCGUUGUAGGAAAGGUUCAAGUACCUCAAAUAUUGAAGCUUCUCAAGUUCCUUUGGUAUUGAUCCAGUCAAGUUAUUACUUGAAAGGUCUAUUUGCUGGAUGCUCUUCAAAGAAGCCAAAUUUGGUGGAAUUGUUCCUUGGAAAAAAUUGGCCUGCAUGGAAAGAUUCGCCAGAAUUGAACAAUCAGCAAGUGAUAUGGGUAUAUCUCCAGCAAAUUGGUUGUGGGAAACAUUGAAAUCCACCAAAUGUAUAAGCUUUCCAACUUCAGGAGGCAGAGAACCACUAAAUGAAUUUUCACCUAUUUUGAUGUACAUCAGUGAUGAGUGCGUCUGCAAAAAUUGUGGUGAUAUAAUUCCAGUGAAGUUGUUAUGAGAUAUAUCCAGAUAUUGCAAAUUUUGACAUCUCAUAAGAACAUUGUCAAAUAUAUUGCCCCCUUCAAACUUGUUAAAUGAUAAGUUCAGAUGGUAUAGACCUGUGGCAUUGCAUAGGGUGGAGACUAUCUGUCCUGACAACUCAUUUUGGUCCAGACGCAAUCUUUGCAAAUCUUGUAAUUUGCCAAAAUCUCUUGGAAUGACCCCUGUAAGAUGGUUUUCUUCAAGGGUAAGGAGAUAUAGGUUGACAAAAUUUCCAAAUCCUUCUGGAAUAGUUCCUGACAGUUGAUUUGUUCCCAGGUACAAUUUAGUGAGUUGAUUUGAUAGAUUGCCCAUGACUUUUGGUAUAUUACCUCCAAAAUUAUUGUAACUCACGGAAAUAACGCUUAGAUUACUGCAGUUGGUCAGUGAUGCAAUAAAGUCCAAGUCUUCCGUAGAAUGACUGCCGAAGAGAUUGACAGCAAGAUUUAGUAAUUGAAGAUUUGUCAGAUCUCCUAAAUUAGUUGGAAUUUGGCCUUUAAACUUAUUUCUGGAAAGAUCAAGUUCCUCAAGCCCAGAAGCAUUGGUGAUUGAAGUUGGAAAGUUUCCAUAGAACUUGUUUGACGAAACACCUAAAAUUUUCAGAUUUGGUAGGGUGAGACCUAUGUUGGUUGGGAGACUGCCAUGAAAGGAAUUGCCGGCCACUGAAAUGACAGUAAUGGCUGAACUAUUAAAGAUAGAGGCAGGGAUUAUACCAGAUAGAUUAUUUUCUGCAGCUCCUAACCCAGCAAACCUUUUUAAGAGCCCCAUCUCCAUGGGCAGAUUUCCCUCCAGAUUGUUGAAAUCGAAAGCGAGUCGAGUCAGCGAUGAUAAGUUACCAAUGGAGGAGGGAAUCUUUCCUGUCAAAUUGUUUACAAAAAGAACAAGUCCUUCAAGCUUCUUCAGACUGCUUAGCUGAUCAAUCGGAAUUUUCCCUUCUAGCUUGUUGUCAUGCAUGCUAAUAUUUAUCAACUCUGUGCAGUAGCUCAGGUUUGCUGGGAUUUCUCCACCGAUCGCGUUACUUGAGAGGUUCAGGCCUCUCAGCCUGAAGAGGCGACCGAAUUCUUGGGGAAUCUCACCGUGGAAUUGAUUCUCCUCAAGAUGGAUGAACCUCAUGAAGCUUAGAUUUCCGACAUGAGGAGAUAUGGUUCCAGACAACUGCUUAUGCCGUAGAGUCAAGGCUAUCACCCUUUGAUGUCGAGUACCACAUGUGACUCCUUCCCACUGGCAAUGGUGUUGUGAAUGGUUCCAGGACUUCAGCACUCCAGACGGGUCAUUGUAUAUCUGCUUCUUGAAUUCAAGCAGAGCAAGACGAUCAGUCUCAUUUUGAAAUUGUUUAGAAGCUGAAACAUGGCUUACUGAAAAGAUCAUGGCAACUAAGAGAAGGAGAAAUAUGUUCGCUAAUGUUGAUGAUGAGCGAAAUCCCCACAUGGUAUUGGGAACUUCAAUGAGCUGUUGGAUGCGAAUUGGGAACGUGGUUGAGCUGUUACGAGUUCUUGCGGUUCUGCUUAUAUAGCCCACACAAUCUACUGUGAUCUUCUGCAUUAUGGAAAGGCACAAUUAGAAGUGAAAUUCCUAAUGUUUUUGCAUUAUGGAUAAUCCAUUUGACUAAUUAAUUUUCACCUCCGCUUCAUUAACUAAAAAAUUAUAAUCAAAUUAAAAGUUGUCUUCAGCCAAUCUAUCAUUGCUACUUUAUUGAGCCAAAAUAAGUGCAUCUCUGUAAAAUUUUAUCGAAGUGGAUAGUAGCGAUUUAUCCAAAAAAAAAACAGGCAUUUCGCGAAUUAUGCGCUUUCCAAUGGGAUCAAUCUGAAGUGCCAGUUUAAAGGUCUUCUUACCAAGUCAAAAAAUAUGUACUGUGCAAUGUCUUAAAUCUUAAUGACUAUGCCAUUGUUUAGACCUGCUUGUACAAGAAGUUAACUCCGUAGUCAUCUUCCAGAGAUGAUGAUUGACAGGAACCCUUCUUUUGUGUGCAAUACUUGAUCUUCCCAAUUAACACAAACCACAAGAACGGUGAUAUGCUAGAAUCUGUCGGUUGGCUUAUGCGAGUUCUGUUCAAACCAUGGUACUGGAAGAAGGGAAAAUGGUUAUUGGUUCUUCACAUAUUGCCAAUUAAAAAAAAUGGGUUUUAUGUAGGAGUGGCAAUUUUCGAUACGAUUUGAAAAUACAACACGAACCUAACACGAAAUUAAUAAGUUUCGGUUGAACUUCGCAGGUUCGGAUUAGAAUCGAGUCGAACACAAUGAAUUCGAAAAGAAAAUAGGUCGAAUUCGAGUUAAUCCAUGGAUGACCCGAUAACCCGUUUAUGAAUUAAAAAUAAUUUAAUAAAUAUAAAAAAUAUUUUAUCUAACUAAACUAAAUUAUUUGAACUGUCAUUUUUUGUCAAAAAUUUUUUACGUUUUUUAUGAUUAAUUUUUCAAACUUUUUUUUACUUUAUAUAUAUUUAAUUACUAUAAUAUAUUUUUUUUAUAAAAAAAUCCUAAAAAUAGUAAUCGAAACACGGCGGCGGUGUUGUGUGAUUUCUUUUCAUUGGUUGAAAACAAACACGUGAUGAUCGAGAUCGUUCAGGAAACUUGUGAUUGUGAAGGUGCUUAUCUGCCUUGAAUGCGUCAGAAGGUGAUUGACAUUUGUAUUCUUCUGCACUACACCCCGUUAAUCUCCAACUCUUGUUGCUUUUCACUUACCUUGCUCUGCGUGCAAAAAGUCUCCUCUGGUAGUCUGAAGACGCAAGGGAUGAGGGCCCUCGAUUAAAUCCUAGAUCAAAUUACCAAAUUUGAUAUCCUGUGCAAUGUCUUAAAUCUUAAAGACUAUGGGCCAUUGUCUAGGUCUGCUUGUACCAGGUCAAAAAAGAUGUAGUGUACAAUGCCUUAAAUCUUAAAACACUAUGUGCAAGUGAACUCCGUAGUCAUCCUGCUGCUUAUUGUGAUCAUCUACCAGAGAUGAUGAUUAACAGGAAGCCUUCUUUUGUGUGCAAUACUUGAUCUUCCCAAUUAACACAAACCACAAGAAUGUUGAUAUGCUAGAAUCUGUCAGUUGGCUUACGCGAGUUCUGUUCAAACCAUGGUACUGGAAGAAGGGAAAGUGGUUAUUGGUUCUUUACAGAUCGCCAAUUAAAAAGAAAUGGGUUUUACGAAUGAUGACAGACAUGAAUUUGGAAAUCAGAUCAUAAAUCUAACACGUUUCUUUACGAAUGGGUUCAUUUUUUUACCAUUCCAUUUUUUUUAAAGAAAUCGUUCUUGAGAUGAUGGAGAGUAAAAGCCUAAUUUUUCCAAAUUACAUUUCAAUCUUCCCGGAGACUAGGAACCUUGGCUUAGUAUUAGGUCUAAUCCCAAAAAAUUGACCAAUAAGAAUAAUAGGAUUUUUGACAAUUUAACAAUGACAAUGACAAAACAAAUAAAUCAAACAGAAAGAAACAAAAUUUUAUGUGGUUUGGUCAAAUUGAUCUACGUCCAGGGGUGAAGGGGUAUCAAAUUUACUAAAACAUAAAGAAAGUUAGAGAGAAUACAAAAUUCUAGAAAAUAAUUUCUGAACUCGAAAGACACCUAAAACUGAAAAUACAAAAGAACCUAACUAACAUUAAAUGUUUAACGGUCCAAAAGCCUAUAAGUUGCUCUUUUGAUUUGAUGCCUAAACAAAAUCUCUCUUAGAUUGGAUCAUGGGCCCCUUAAAACUCUCUUAAAUUGGUGCAUACAACACUUGGGAUAGUACCUUUAGUGCAGUUAAACUCAUUUAAAUCCAUUAUAUUUAUAACUAGCAAGGGGAGAGAUUUCUUCGUUAAAUUUCCUAAUAUGAGAUACAAAGAUAAACUCAACAAAUCUCUAUCUUGGCAUGCAUCCAACAUCGGUAAAUUGCAAACAAAUGGCAAAUAAACUCCACAUUCUCCAUAAAUGUCCCAAUGGAUCUCAACGAACCACCAAAGUUCCAACAGAUCCCAAUGAGCCACCAACGAAUUAGGAUGCAAAAAACUCAAUGGAUUCCAACGGAUCAAAACUCACAAAACGUUCAACAGAUUCCAACAAGCUAAAAAUCACGAACAUAGUUAUCUUACUCCACCUUCUUCACAAAACCCUCAACGAGUUCCAACGGGUCAAAUAACUUUUCUUCAAAACCCAAAUGAACUCCAAUAAAAAUUUUUUCUUCACUUUUUUUAGUGAUCAAAAUUUGUUAUUGUCAUCAAGAACCCAAAACCUGAAACUUUGAUACCA
rnacentral:lncRNA from 1 species